CUCACAAUUAAUCCGAUUACACACGAGCUUCUCUCCCUGGCCAAGACACAACCAUAGUAUGAUGAAGAACAUGGCACUAGCCGGCAAUGGUAUGAAGAAGUUAAUCCUCGCUGUUCUCUUACUGUGUCUAGUUAUAGGGCAGAUACAAGUGGAAGCUAAGAGCUGCUGCCCAUCCACCACUGCAAGAAAUGUCUACAAUACCUGCCGUUUCACGGGUACAUCCCGUCCAACGUGUGCAAAACUGUCAGGCUGCAAAAUUAUCAGCGGGAACAAAUGCAAGCCCCCUAACGACCACCUCACCCUUGACCCGGACACUGGUAAAUAAUAAAUUUAUCUCACUUGAUUUCUUCGUGAUUUGAGUCGUUAAUGUAUUUUCCAUCUGAUGAAACGUAUUGGUUUUGCAUUGAAGAGGAAGUUAAUGUGCUUAACUUCUGCAAGUUGGGGUGUGCGUCGUCUGUGUGCAACAACAUCAACGCUGGUAAGCAACUUUUGCUCAGACAGAGAAAACAAUAAUCAUUAAUUAGCGGCAGCUAGAAUCCUAUAAUCUAAUAUAUAUAUAUAUAUAUAAUUUUAUCAGCUCUGGGAAAUGAAGAGGCGAACGAUGCCGUUGAGAGUUGCGACCAAGCCUGCUCUAGCUUCUGCAGCGUGCAUGUUGGCAGCGCCACCGUGGUUGCUUAAGCAAAUGCAUCCAACUAGAUCGUCCUUGUGCUGAAUAAUUGGAUAUCGUAUCCACUUAAAGCUGCCUUGUGUAGUACGUCUUUGUGUCUCUCUUUAUAUUCCAAUAAGGUCGGUGAUCUUGAUGCCACACACUCAGAUGUGUGUUCAUCUCCAGAUACUACUCCAUGCUACCUGCCCUUUGUGUUUUGUUCAAUAACUGGGUAUCAUAUCCCAGCCAGUAUGCCGUCUGUUUUGUGUUUGUUUCCUUCUAGUUCCAAAGGGGUCAUCAUGAUGUUACCUUCUUUCAAUAUGGUGCUUUGCAUGACUACUGUUGUAUGGUACCAUCUUGUGGCCAAUAAGUACAUCUUAUCCUAUGACCUUUGCUAUGACCCUUUGCAAAUAAGUAGAAGAUUGUUAUAAGCGUCAAUACUCCGUAUAAAUUGAUCGCUGCUGUGAGUUCCCUUUCAGCUUAUCGUAGGCAUACAUUAUUGCUAGCACGGUAAAGCCAACCAACACGAAUGAUGAAGUAAACGUAGCGGUACUUCUGUAUACCAACACCCUUACUUAAAUGUACCGGUGUCAUUCCCUACUGGCACAUAUAUUCUUAUAUGCUAGCCAGCUUGUAAAAUUAACCAAUUAAAAUAAUUAUUUCAAGAUAGAAAUAACUUAUCGGUUUCUGGAAGCAUGUGUAAUGUGAAUUCAAGGACUCGACGGAAGUUGAAUCACUUCAUCUAUAUUGCUUUCAGUAUUUUGGGUAACUAAAUUUAACAUUUGCACAUACAAAUGUUAAAGUACAAAUGUUAAAUCUAGUUACCCAAGCAGAAUAUGAAGAUAGUUUAUAGUAUAUAUAUACUAUAUAAAUCUAGUUAACAUUUAGUCUAAAUGUUAAAUCUAGUUACCUAAAAUCCUGAAAGCAAAAUGUAUAAAUAUAUAUCUUUUAAGGCAGUAUAAGCUUCGAUUCCUAUUGCUGCUCUGUUAAAUCUCAUCUUUCGUUGUGGCCCAACACUCUAGUAUGCAUGUUGCACCAAGCUUCUUUGAGCCGCUCUGCCCUCUGAUUUUGCUGCGUAGGGGAAUCUUUAUCAGGUUGGGCUACUUCCAGUUGUGCGAUGUAAAGAUUCGUAUUUUCUAGAAGGUAGACAAAAAACUCGCGUUCUCUUAAGGCAACAACCGGAAGAUUCUGCAGCGCACAGGGCAUACCAUUAUUGUAGAAACGACCUUUAGUACCGAUCUCCAACCCCCUUUAAAACUGGUUUUGCAACCGGUACCGUUAUGUCGGUCCUUUAGUACCAGAUCAAAUAAGUACCGGUUGGUAACCAGUAUCAACUUGUUUUGCGGCCAAAAAAAUAAAGAAAAAAACAGUCAGAAGGCUCGCGCACACGCGCAUCACAUGAAAUAUGCGUGUGCGGGGUCCAUGGGAUUCGAACCCAUGAAAUCAAGCUGCGCGCGACCCUUCGUUACCAUCUCACCUACAUAGCGCAUAUGCUUUCCUGAAGUAACCCGUGGAGGAGGCUUUAGUACCGGGUCAUAACACCACCCGGUACUAAAAAUGACUCUUCAGUACCGGGUCAUAACACCACCCGAUACUAGUAUCGGAUGGUGUAAUGACCCGAUACUAAAAGGCCUCUAGGGACCCUCAAAUUUGAACCCGGUACUAAUGCUAAUAUUAGUAGCGGGUCAAAGUGCAGCCAGAACUAAAGCAUGGGAUGAAAGGUCAUAUUUCUAGUAGUGUAUAGUUGUUGUGAAGGACUGACUUGGCUGUCCUCUCUCUUCUCCAUCCCCUUGGUCUUACGCCGCCGCUCGCACGCGAGCCGGUGCCCAACCAGAGGAGUGAGAGCUAGGGGCAGGUUGGGAGGUGGGGAUAGUGACUGGUGGCCAGGGUGAUGGUUGAUCCUGGUGGGGUUAGGGUUUUAGGGUUUUCGAGCUUCCUAUGGUCGGCGAACCUAGAGGAGGAGCUCAACAUCAGCUGCAACCCGCGAUGGUGGUGGUUUGGCCGGCGCCCGAGGCGAGGCAGCGCGGGAGUGCUGCCGGUGGGUUGGUGUUGGCACUCAUUAUUGACAACUAUUUUGUUCAUAAAAUAACACUCAAACUUGCUGCUGCUGCUGCUGCUGCCAUCGCCACCCUAGCCAUAAUAUAAAGGCAAAAUUUGCUAAAGGACAUGCAAAAUGAUGCUAGUUUGCUGGCGGGCAUCGUUGACCUUGUAAUAUGCUACAAGACACUCUAGUUGUGUAUCAAUUUGCUGAAAGACAUUGCUAUGACUAAAAUAAUGUUUCUGGACUGAGUUGGAGAGAGAGAUGGAGUGAAAUGUCUGUUUUGCCCAUGACCCCACUGGUCAGAUCCUUCUUCUUCCACCCUCCUUUGUUCUUUCUUCAACCAUUACCCAGCUCCAGCGUGUUGCAGAUCUACGAGGGUGGCGGCCUGGGGCGAGGGGCAUCGCUCGCCCUUGGAGGAGCGCUGCGAGCGACGGCGCGGGGGCGGCAACAGCGCGUCAGAACCUGACUGUUCGUUAGCUCCUCUCGCUGCUGGGGAAGGAGGGGGAUGGGCCAUGGACGGGGUUCCCUUGAAAACCUCAGCGUCGAGCUCGGGCGGCUACGCGCAGGCAGCACUAGGCUGCUUCACGGGGAGGGGGCGCGGCCAAUCAUUGGCACCCCACUGGUCCAAUGCUGAUGAAGAUGGUGCCAGCGUCGUGUGAGGACAUCUCAUCUCCUCGAGUUCCAUGGCCAGCACAGGUGAGCUGCCGCUACCACAAAACAGAGGUUUCGUGAGAGUCAAAAAACCUUAUGAAAAUAGCUAAAACCAUCAUGAAAAUAAUCCGUGACAUGACACUCUCACGAAAAUCCUCUCACAAAUAUGGUGCCAUGAAAAUACCAUUUUCAUGAGAGUGAACUGUCAUGAUUUUAUUUCGUGAGAGUAUUUCCUAUCAAUGACCUCCACGAAAUACUUUGUGCCACCAGGUCUUCAAGAUCAUUUUCAUGAGAGCUGAACAUCAGGAAAAGUCCGCCACAAAUGUUUUUCUUGGAGCCCCUAACUCUCAUGAAAAUCAUGCGGGCCGCCACGAAAAACAGCAUGACCAAAUGACAAAUUUCAUUUUCAUGUGUUCAUACCGCCAUGAAAAUGGUCAUUUUCAUGAGAGUUGAUGAAACAAAAAAUAGUGCCAUUUUCAUGAGAGUUCAAGCAACCAGGAAAAGACACUAAUAAACAUCCAGAUCCCAUCCAGCACACAUCCAUGCACAUAUAUAACCCACAUAUUGCUCCAGCACACAUCCAUGCAUAUACAAGAUCCAAAUGUUAAUAUAGUAGACAUCCAUGCCUGAACUAGUCUGCCACACAAGUCAUUGAUGCUACAAAUCCUACAAUCGCAGCAUGUGCAUACAAGUCACAGAAUGAGACAAUGUACCCAAAACUAAAAGGUUAGCAUCAACUGUGCUUCAACCAAAGUUGUCAUCCCAACUCUCCUCUUCAUCCAUGCCAUUCUUGUCGUGGCCGUCACUGUCAGUCCCCAUGGCAUUGCCAAUGCUGUGCAUGUCUUGGUAGGAACCUACAUGUGAUGAACUAGUAACCUGCAAAAAGAGCUCAAAGGAUCUUGUUCUCAUAUUGUAGCUGUGAAAUUCUUACAAGUAGUGUUGCAAUCAGUUCACUUUGAACCAAAAGAGCUCAAAGGAUCUUGUCCUAAAAGUUCCUCAUAAAGCUUAUGGGUUUGCUGGUGGAACUGGAAGGGCUUGAUGCAGCAGAUGCCAUUCUGCAAUAGAGAAAAAUUUAGAGAGCAGUACUAGUUAAAAUUGGAUGCAGAAGAUACACAUGAAACUAGUAUUUAUACAAGUCUAUACAAUUAAAAUCUAAGGAGACUUAUCAUCGUUUUCAUGUGUUGUGAAUUAAAAUAAUGAAGGAUACACUGUUAGGUGAAAAUUCAAGAAACAAAAUUUUGCAUAGAGAUAAAGGUCCAACAUUAUUACAAGUUAAGGUAGUUUUAAAUAUCCUUGUAAUCUUCCUUUGGUUUCCUCAACGAUUCGAAGACAAUAACCUUGCUUCUAUCAAUGAUAAUUAUAAGGAGAAUCCAGUGGAAACUGUGUAUUCGUAUUAGAACUACCUAAGGUUAAUUAGGUUAGGAAAGGAAAUUGAAAAUAGAUGGUACCCACACUUACUUAAAGUUGUCGGGCAAUAGUAUGUAAUGCUUGUAAUUCCGUUGCUCCAAGAAUUUGUAUAUGUGGUCCAAUGUAGACUUUGGUUGAUCCCGUAUCUGCUGUUGGUUAAAUAAGUGUUUCUAGCCAUUUCUAGCCAUUAGAACCGGGACUAAAGGGGGCUCUUUAGUACGGGUUGAUAUUACUAACCGGGAUUAAAGAGCCCCCAUUAGAGUUGGUUUUUGGAUGCGGAACUAACAACUCCUUUAGUCCUGAGUACGAAAACAACUGACAUAUUUGUUGCUGGAUGGAAGGUCCUUUCUCUACCGUGAAUAUUGCCAGAAAGAAUUGAAAGAGACUGCUUGCUAAAAAUAUGUCAUAGAUGUAGACCAAGCUACCAAGGAGGUAGACCAAACAUGAUACACACCAUGCGUACCUUGCUGUGCAGACUAUGCAUUGACAAGAUACCCGACCACAUGUUGGCCUCGGUCACAUCAAAAGAAUCAUGUAGGCCACCAAUAAACUACUUGAAGCGGCAUUCCGUAUCGUAUAUGCAUUGCCGGUUCAUCUGCAUUACAUUACAUAAAGCACUAUUAACUAUUUGAAUAAAAUGAACCAAUUUAAAAGUAAUGUGUUGUACUCUACUAUAGAAAGCCCUAUCACUGCCGGAUCCAAAAACAUCAUUGUUAAUGGUGGUUAAGUACCAAAUAUGACGGUCAAUAUUCUCAAGAAUAAUGGAGAAUUAGCAUUUCUUAGACACAUAUUUGGUUUUGAACAAUGUAGUUCCACAUGUCUUUGGAGAUUAUUUGGGUGUGGGUGAAAUAAUACAAAAAUAAGGAGAAAACACACUCCCAUGGCGAAGAAACACAACUCCAACCAAUGAGAGAUAGCCACAGGGGCAGCACACGGAUCCAUGGGCCCACUAACCGCAUCAAACCAUCUUACCAAGGCAGGUAGCACCCACAACCGUCAUUAGGACCCACCUGGAAGUCUACCAAGAAGAAGGUUGCGAGUGGGGCCAGGAGGGGUUCGGUUGAAUCAUCUCUAGCUAGCUCCCCUCAUCCCCAGCUGGUGGGUGGUGGUGGUUGAUGGUGUCCCUACAUCAGUUAGAGGAGAUUCCCCCAAAUAUUCCUCCUGUAAACCACCUCUAUGGACCUAUACAUAGAGGGGUGUGCUCUCCAUUCCAACACACACCACAAGUUGAAUCACUCUCUCCCUCUUUAGUUUCCAAGUUUAUGGAGUUAGGCUAGAGUAGCUCUGCUCAAGGUUCCAAGUCCACUUGGAGUUAAGCAUAUGUCUCUUGUAUCGUUAUUUCCUAAAUUGACUUUAUGCUUAGUUCUUAUAUGCAUGAGUUAGUCUAAUACCCUUGCUAUAUUGAUAUGCUCGGCUUAUAUGCUCGUAUGCUAGUCAUAUACCCUUGCUGUCGUAGUAUAGGCUUAUAUGCUCUCAUGUGUGCCUGUAGACCUUGCUAUAGUAUAUACUUGUUGUGCAUACAUACCAUGUAUAGGCUAGUCGAUCUAUACCAUGGCAUUGGUUCAAUAGCCAUGUUUUUGGUGGCUCCAACCCUAGUCACAAUAGCUCGGGACAGCUGGAGUGUUGUUAAAAAUGCAAGAGUGGUGCUUGGGUUGUUUAGCAUCGUUGGAUAUGGGUUUGCCCCACGGGUUUCUAACGGUAGGCGGCAGCUAGUGACAUCCCUGUCCGUCCUUCGUAAUCCCCCCACAUUCAGGUACGCCAUAAAUGUUCGUAAAUUAGCAGUAACUACGCCGGUACACCUGUAGGGUAUUGUCUCCCUGUAGUACCUUGGUGCAUAGAACUAAGUCCUAUACACUGUGUGUGUAUGUUUACGCUGAUAUGAUCUGUGCAGUAUAUAGGAUGUAUAUAUGAACCUAGAGCUAACUCCUAGUCCGUUCUCCAUAGCUUAGUUAUCUUGAGAUGAUUCUUCUGUAUGUGUAACACUACCCAUCUUAUCAUUAUCCUUGAUCCUGUCUUGUGUAAUAUAUCUACUCAUCCUAUGAUAUACUCAUAUGCAUAGUAAACUAUUUUGACCUACCCGCCUUCCUUUGGGAAAUAUGAUACCUUGGAAUAAUCCUAGGUGAAAUCCUACAACGGUAUAUCCAUGUAAAUGCGGAUUUAUUCAUGACCAUUAAAUAUACCAACAAUCAUCACUGUGAGUUUUGGGCGUCGUUAGUGAAGGGUUGGUAGUGAUGGGCAUCCCCUUCACCAAUGGACCUGGAACCGGCGGUGAUGGCUAUUAUAAAAAAGGGGACACCACCCAGCGUACCCCACGACCCGGCCGGCCGCACCUCCCAUCAUCCCCGCCAGCCGCCCUUCCUUUUCGCCGGCCGAGCAUGGUCCCGGCCUUUGUCCCUACCACCUCGCCUCCACCGCGACCCCCCGCCGAUGCCCUCGUGCCUGGCCCCCCUCAUCUUGCCGGCCACCCUCCCGAUGCGUCCACUGGGGCCCUCGCACCACCAACCGCCCUUGCUUAGAGAGGGAGAGAGAGGAGGGAGGUGAGGCCACGCACCUCGUCCUACACCGCCGCUGUUUCUCCUCGGCCCACCGCGCCUCACCCCACACCACAGCCGCGCCUUGCCAUCUUACCGGCUGUGACGCCUCAUCUCACCGGCCACCGUUCCUCACCCCCACUUCGGUCGUCGCCGCUCCUUGCCCUACCGCUGCUCUUUGCCGCUGCGAAUGAGCGCCGAGUGGAGGAGGAGGGAUGGGGCAGGAGGAGGGCAAGAUCCGGGAGGAAGGGAGAGAUCUCGGGAGGUGGAGAUGGAAGGAUAUGGCGGAAGGGAGAGAUCCAGAGGGAGAGAGCAGGGGAGAGAGGGGGGCGUGUGGGGAGAGAGCGCGUGUGGGGUGGGGCCGGGCUGGUGGGAUGGAAGGGAGAGGGGCUAGACGGGCGCAGUGCAUUCAACUGGAUGAAGUAAAUAUUUUGGAUUCGAGACCCCAGCUUUAUUAUCACCGCUGGUCCGUAGUACCAUCCGGUGCCUGCUCGUAAUUUAAUUUGAAUCUGCGGUGAUGUUUUAUUAUCACCAUCGGAUCAUAUAAAAAUCCGGCGGUUAAAAAUCCGCUGGUUUCGAUGAAAACCGACGGUGAUAGGAUGACUGUGAUAGUCUCUUCUCUAGUAGUGGUAUAUUAGUACCGGCUGCCGGAUGGUGUUGCCGACCAGUACUUCUCCGGGGGCGAUUCAGUACUGCUGUUAGCAAAGCUUGUUCUCUAUGAAUUUGGGGAUGGAAAGCUAGUUCUCUAGUUGUGAUUUGUUACAUAUAUAUCUAUGAUAGUCUAGAAAUUGCAUGUCCUUCGUUGACAUAGUUGAAGCUGCUUCAAGAAUUUACUUCGUGCAGUCGUGCAGCAUAUUGGAUUAUCACCUAGACAGGAUACAUAGGUGAAGCAUUGGAUGUGAUUGUGGCCGAUAAUUAUGCAGGACGCUGUUGCAAUCAACCACCAAGAAGUCUGGAGUGAUGGGGUUGCCUCAUCAAUAAUUUUUAUAUAUGGCUGCAGUAUUAUUAAGCCCACGUCAAUAAUUUUUUGUCCGCACCAUAUAUCGAUGGGGUUGCCUCAUCAAUAAUUCGCGCAACCAGACAAGCUGCAGACUCAAUAUGGUACGAAGCUAGUUGCUCAGCCCACAUGCUCUGAUAUAACAUUGACAUCUGCUGAUCUACAGUAUAUAUGACCAGAAAUAUUGUGCCCACCUCAAUAACUUUCUGAAGUAUCGUGGGGAAGAACCUACGCGUACUAUGCCUCGGAACUAACUGACAUAUCGGCCCAGGCGGUCUAGGCCGAUUGGACUGGCUCUUCCUUGUGGCUUCUCACAUCCCCUUCGUCCCCAAGUAAUUUCAGGUGUUCUGUAGUUUUCUUUUCACUUGCAUCUGAGCCUCCUAUAUCAAUAGCUUCGGGAUAAGAAUGCCUCUUGAUAACCUUCCAAAUCCUCGCUUGAUUCACAUUGAUUCCGAAAUCAUCUUGCCAUAUCUUCAGAGACUUAGGUCCUAAGGCAUCAUGGAGGAUUGCUCGCCAAGAAUGAGCACCAUUGGGCUCCUGAGGACCCUAGGCCGAUCAGCCCGGGCUCUAUAGGUCGAUUGGCCCAGGCCCUCUCUGGGCCUGUUGGCCUUCAUCUUUCUUUGAGUCGACGCUUAUUCAGGGCUUUGUCCAAUUAUAGUCCAUUAUAGUCUAAUUUCCUAAAAAACAGAAUGUCCUCCAAAAUACAAUGCAUAUGUGAAAACAACCCAAUUAUUAGGUAUGAUCAAUAGUUUAGGUAUUAAAUUAAUAUUAUUAUUUAAGAUAAACAGGGGUAAAGGGUGUCAUUAAUAACAAGCGCCAACAAGCGUCCUAGCUGUUCAAUAAAUUUUUUCUAGUACCGAUUGGUAACACUAACCGGUGCUAAUAUGUACCCUUUAUUACCGGUUAUUUUACCAGGUACUAAAGGAGACAAGAGCAUCCUAACAUAAGGUUAAUAUCAUCCAUUUCAUGAGUAAAAUACUAUGAUUCAAAAAUAAUUCAAAUCCCUUAAGACAAUACCUAUCAAAUGAGUAAAUUGUAAAUAGAGUAAUCUUGAUCAAACAAUGUCCUAAUGAAACGGAACACUUCUGGUUCGUGUAGAGCACAAUAUAGAAAACAGUAGGGUAGCUGUAUGAUUGACACGUGGUCCAUUAAUUAUUGAGCCAACACUAUGGACAUGUCUUCAUGAGUAGUGUACUAGUCAUAAUACAUGGUAUGCAGUAGGUGGAGGUAUUGACUUAGCCAUGCUAUGAGCACUUAGUUACAACAAACACUUUGCCAUUAUCGAGCAUCCCAAAUCACUACAAAAUCCAUAGUUUACCAUAUACUACAAAAUCUGAGUUAAAAUAAGAGCAUACACGGAAGAGUCCGAAUGCACGGCACAUUGAAUUACUAGACAAAAUUUAUGGGACAAGGUUUUGGGUAACCGCAUGAAAAAUAUUGGAUUUUACUGAACACUUAGUUACAAUUACCAUGCCCGUGAGCACUUAGUCACCACAAACAUUUAACCACUUUAGAUCAUCCUGAAUCCCUAUAAAUUCUAUACCUUACACCGUACCAUGAAAACGACAAGAACAGAGACAGAUGCGGUGAAAAUCUCCAGAGCAAGCCUGAAAUUAAAAUAAGAGGAGGCAGUCACUAUCGACAGGACACGGAGAUUGCUAGCCAUGACAGAGGAAGACAUGAUAUGAUAUUCACCUCUGAAAUGCAGCGUAGACUAAAUGAAGCACAAUUGCAAGUGAGUGUGGCAGAUAAUGGACCAUCGAGACCAUCGAAUGGUAUGAAGCAUGAUUAUCACCUAGACAUGAUAUCCUAGACAGGACGGUGAAUUGUAAAAAGAGUAAUCUUGAUCAAAGAAUGUCCUAAUGAAACGGAACAUUUUUGGUACGUGUAGAGCAAAAUAUAGAAAACAGUAGAGUAGUUGUACGAUUGAAACUGCAUCCAUCGACGUGGUGCAUGAAUUGUUGAGCCAACACUGUGGACAUGUCUUCAUGAACACCAUCUAGUGAGGACAGCAUGCAGAAAAAUAUAAAAACAUGUCAUAGGGAGGCAGACCAAUCUUGCGAGGUAGACGAAACGUGAUACACGAUCUGCCUACCUUGUCGUGUGGAUACCCCAAGUGAAGAUGUCAUAGAGGUGCAGACCAAGCUAGCAAGGAGGUAGAUGAAACGUGAUACACGGCCUGCCUACCUUGCCGUGGAUAUUAGUCCUGAUAUCAUUCUAUUGUUCAAGGAAUAACACUCAAUGCUGCUGCUGCUGCUGACCUGGCUCCAUAAAGUUAUAUUCCUCUAGCCGCUUGCACUAACUUUAUCUGAAGUAUUAUUCUCUCUGCACUGUAUAUAUGGUUACGGAGUUUGCUGGAGUAUCCGGGGGGAAGAACCUACAUAAUAUGUCUUGGAACUAACUGACAUUGAUUCACAGACAAGGUGCUGUUGUUGACAUGGUACAGUAAAUAAUAUAGUUUACCAUAUACCGUAUACCAUUAUAUGUUAGCUAAAAUAAGAGCAUAACAUGUCGCAGGAGUCCAAAAGCACCGGUUGAGGACCAGGUACAUUAAAUUACUAGAAAACAAAAGGGGACAAGGUUUAGGUAGCCACAUGAAAAACAUUUGAAUUUACUGUACCAUGAACACUUAGUUACCAUGCCGGGAGCACCUAGUUAACACUAACAUUUAGCCACUUUAGAUCAUCCCGAAACACCAAUGACCCUCAAUAGCGACAAAUUUUGGUUUAAAUGCCGUCACCAAUGAUCCUCAAUAGUGACGUGUUUAGGUUUAAAUCCCAUCACUAAUAACCCUUGGUAGUGACGUGUUUUGGUUUAAAUCUCAUCACCACUGAUCCUCACUAGUGACGUGUUUUUAGCAACACACGUUAUGAAUGACUUGUCAUUGGUGACAUGUUAAACGCGUUAUCUCAAUGGCAAAUCAAUGGUGACGUGUUUAAAAAAACAUGUCACUGUGAGAGUUAUUGGUGAAGGGUAAUUAAAAUGCAUCACUAAUUUUGUAGCAUUAGUUAUGAUAUAAUUUUGUAACGCAAAAAUCUACCAUAGUAAUGAGGUUUAGAGCCAUCACUAAUGUGGGUUUCUUAUCGUAGUGAUGCAAGCUCUACAAGGUGCUGUUGUUGCCAUUUUAAAGCAUCCCAAAUGACUACAAGAGUCCGGUUGAGGACUAAACAAAUUGAAUUACUAGAACCAAAUGUAUGUCCAGAACAAAGAAAGGGGUCAAGGUUUGGGUAACCGCAUUAAAAACAUUGAAUUUUACUGUACCAUGAACACUUAGUUACCAUUACCAUGCCUUGAGCACCUAGUUACCACAAACAUUAAUUUAGCCACUUUAGAGGUUCCACAAUCACUAUAAAUAAUAUACCAACACCGUACCAUGAAAACAUCAAGAAGAGAGACGGGUACAUGGACCACCAUCAAGUGAGUAGUGACAGCACGCACAAGAAUACCCGGAACCUUUUAGCUUGUCUGUAGUGAUCUGUUUUCUUCGCCACAAAUAAUGAAAGAGGCUGACCAAGCUAGCAACGAGGUAGAGCAAACGUGAUACACGUAGGUUUCAUUCAAGACAUCCAUGUAAGAUUCAUUCAAAACAUUCAUGGAAAUUUCUUGUAAGUUUUCAUGUAAAUUUCAUUCAAGACAUUUGUUAGAGGUGUUGUAUAUACACUUAACGUACAUAUAUCUAUGAUUUCAUGGUUGUUAGUGAUGGCAGAUGAGGAGCAUGCAAGGUGUUUAAUGGAGCAGAUUAUUGCUAGUGGUAGUGGCUCCAACCUGCCCGUAACGUACACCGACGAAGAGGGCAGCCAGGCGGACAUGUUCCUCAACAUGUCCGGUGAUGGCAAUGAAGAGCCCGAGCAAAACCUUGCCGUGACGGAAGGUUCCAUCGAGGUAUAUAUCAUUUCCAUUAUUUUACCCCAUCUAUAAUUUCAUAUUCAUUAUUACUAUGUGCUAAUUAAUGAAUCUUGAACCGUUAGUCCUCUAGAUCAACGAACCGAAAUAAGCCCCGAGGUCUUACAAAGAUAAUGCAGGGAAGGCUUCACAUCAUGGAAGUCACAGAAGAGGGCACAUCGGUUGCUCCCGAACAUGUGGCAAGAAAGUACGUGAGUCAAACCGGGGCAAUCGUAAGGGACAACAUGCCCAUCAGCAUCAGGGAAUGAAAGAGCAAUAGAAAUGAUCUAUACGCACCCCCGGAUACACAAAAGGAUAUGUUGUGGGCAAAUAUCAAGAAACACUUCACAUUUCCCAAAGGAUAUGUUGAAAAAUAUGUGAAAGCGUGGAUGUUGAAGAAGAUGGCCACCCAAUUCCAGACAUUCAAGAAGAUGUUGGAUGCCAACUUCAUCAAGAAGGGUCGAACUCCGGGUUUCAAUGAGUGGCCAAAGUUAAGGGACCACUGGGAGUCGUUUGUCGAAUACAAGACGAGCGAAGGUGGUGCGAGUAAGGUUCACAUCAAUGUUGCCAAUGCUAGCAAGGAGUACCAUCAUCAUCUAGGGCGACGUGGUUACAGCUCUGCAAUUCCCAGAUGGCGCAAGAUGGAACAAGACCUGAUCGAUCGGGGUAUCGUACCAGCAACUCUUGACUGGAUCGAUUGAAAAAUUGGUAUUAUGCUCAUGAAGGCAAUCUGAGCCAAGAGGAUCCGACAUUGGUCUUCAAUAAAACAAUACGUCAGAAGGUCGGAAGGCUUAUUAGGAACAUUGAAGAUGCUAAAGCUGGGAGGUUCAAGGUGGAUAGAGAGAAUGAUGAACUCACAUUGGCCCUCGGGACUGUCAUCUCUAGCACUUCCAGCUCCAGGACUAUCGUCACCACCGGGACCGUCGCUUCCUGCUCGAUCACAGUCUCCAUCUCCAGCACAUCCUGGUGGUGCGAGCGACGACGACAACAACACCCCUCCCUGCCCACCAUUGCCGGGACUAAGACCCGCAUUGAGUAAGGAACCUGCAACACCACUGAAGAAGUCGCGACCACCACCUUCAAGGCAAGUCAGCAAAAGAAGAAAGCAGAGAAGCCUAAACCCACUGAGAAGCCAGCGACUGAUAUGACCGAUGCGGAAAGAUGGAAGGCACUCAAAGAAGAAUGCAGGGAGUGGUUCAGCGAAGGCGAAGGUGAGAAAGUCGUAUGAAUCGAAUUCAAGGAUAUAUAUGAAGUGAACCAUCAGGAUGCCCUUGAUGUCUCUCUCAUCAGCGCCUAGGUUCUGUAAGUGUAUGUUUAUCUAUAAGUAAAUUUUGGCUCAUAUCAUUAUUUUUUUUGCGUGCGUCACCCUACUAACUUCGUCUUCCAUUUUAUGUAGGAUGCUAAUUCAGACGUGCCGCAUAGAAGCGUACUUCCAUGUUGGAUUCAUGGAUCCAUCCCUAGUUAACCAAAAGCCGAUACGGAAGUAGCUAGAGAAAACGUUGGAGGUGGUGUACAACCUCCUGGACAAACUAAACUACAGAAUAGGGGCAAUAUGUGAGGGUCUUGUAGGAUUCCUAGUGGACGAGGUGAUAAAUCCAUAAGGAGAAUAUCAUUCCAACGGACGAGCAUUAGACACACUGAGCAACACCUAGAUGGGAGGAUCCUAGGAAUGACCUCGACAGAUUUUGGUAUAAAUAGUAAUUGUGUAAAUACUAGUUUGAUUUGUAUAGGAAUAUACUAAGAAUUGUAUAUAUAGUAAUUGUACAAAUACUAGUUUGAUUUGUAUGAAUACUAGAUUGAUUUUAUUAUAAAAAAGUUUUAAGUCGUACGUGCAUGCGCCUACAAAGGCGCGGAUGCCUUUUAAUCCCAGUCGGAAAAACAAACUGGUACUAAAGGGGCUCGUGCCGCACCUGGCAUGACCACCCCUUUAGUCCCGGUUGAACGACCCAGGACUAAAGAUCUCCGCGUCUCAAAAAUUUUAUCUCGGAUGCUUUUUAGAGAGAUUUGAGGCCUAUCAACCAAGACUAAUAUCGAGUUUUCUACCAGUGAAACUAACUAACGUUCACAUGGUUUUGACAUUCACCUGCCAUUUGGUGUAGACAAGGGCACCCUAACAUAUGGUUAAUAUUAUUCUUGAAAGAAAAUCCUUUGAUUCAAAAUACUUCAAACCUAAUAAUACAAUACUUCUCACAUCUGAAAAAUAUGAGACGGCCCGACAGUAUUCUAAUCGACGCAAUAAUAUUUUGAGGGCAGCACUACUACAGCGACCCUCAUUCGUGCCGGUGCUGGGACUCCUAUCACGACCCUGAUACAAAUGAGGGUACAUUAUUGGUGCCAGUGCUAGAACAGCCACGAAUAACUUGCUAAACGUGCUGUUACACUCACUACAGGGACCAAGAAGGUAGAUAAAUUACACGACAUAGCCUUGGUUGCCGUGGAAGCGCCAAGAAGGGAGACAAAUUACAGGGACCACACCAUCAAGUAGAUAGUGACAAUAUGCAAAAGAAUACCCGCGCCUGUUAGCAUGUGAACUGACCACACCACGAAACGUGAUACACGGCAAGCGUACCAAGGCCUUGCUGUGCAGACUAUGCAUGGACAACACAUGGUACCUGACCGCUUUUGGCCUCAGACACAUCGAAAAACUGCAUCGUUCCACGUUGUACAUCCAUUGCUAGUUUAUCUAUAUUACAUAAUAUAUUAUUAGCUAUUUGAAUAGAAUGAACCAAUUAAAAAAUUGCGUUGUAUUUUUAGUACCGGCUGCAGGAUGGUGUUACCAACCAGUACUAAUUGGCCUGUAGGAGUGAUGGUUAUUAGACUUGGUACUGUUGUUAGCAUCAUUAACCUAAUUGUGCGCCGUAUGAAUUUGGGGAUGCAAAGCUAGCUCUCUAUGAAUGUGAGGGAUGGAAAGCUAGUUCUCUAGUAGUAAUUAUAUAUAUGACAGUCAAGAAAUCGAACACUAUGCUGCUACGAGUCACCAUCAUUUCCUUCAUUGACAAUCUGACAUAGGUGAAGCUGCUUCAAUAAUUUCCUUCGCGCAGUCGUGGAGCUUAUUGGAUUAUCACCAGGACGGGACACGGAAAUGGCCAGCAAUGAAGCUGAUUGCCGUCUGAGGAAGACUACAUACUUACCUAUGAAAUGAAGCGAUUGCAUAGACUAAUGAAGCAUUGCAUAUUUGCAUGUGAGUGUGGCAGAUAAUUCUGCAGGACAUGAUUGCAAUCCACGCACCAUCGAGAAGACUGGGGCGAUGGGGUUGCCUCAUCAAUAAUCACGUGGAUGCAUGCAUGCAUGUUCCCGCAACCGGACAAGGGUCUGAUAUAUGGCUAUAGUAUUACUGAGCCCACAUCAAUAAUUUCCACUGGUGUAUCGUGUGGGAAGAAUCAACAUACUACACCUCGAGUUCUUGGAACUAACUGACGUUCACAUGCAACCUCCACAAGGUGCUGUAUGCUUUUGACAUUCACCUGCCAGUUCGUGUAGAGAAGGACACCCUAACGUAUAGUUAAUAUUAUCCAUUUCAUGAGUAAAAUACUGUGAUUCAAAAAUACUUCAAAUCCCUUGAGACAAUACUUCUCACUUGACUAACCACUAACCAACCCCGAAACCCUAACUCAACUCCGAACCCUAACCCCUAACGGCAUAACCACUCCGUUUUGCCGGCGAGAUGGAGGAACUGGCUGGAAGGUAGAGAGGGCAGCGGUCCAGGGUUGAAAACGACGGGCGAGCGCAGUAACAUGUGGAGGAGGAAGUGCCACGUAUUCGUUCACCGCUAUUGGGCAGCGACACACGACACGCCCAAUAAGAUCUUCGCACGGUAGAAGGACGUCAUGUAUUCAAUAAUGUUAUUGGUCCCCCAUGUGCAGAAGGGCGCGCGCGUAUGGAAUAACAAGUAGGGACACUGCAACUAAUCUACUCUGCUCGUCCAGUCCCUAGCCUAUAAAUAGAUGCCAUGCUAGCUCUUGUUGUGCUCACAAUUAAUCCGAUUACACACGAGCUUCUCUCCCUGGCCAAGACACAACCAUAGUAUGAUGAAGAACAUGGCACUAGCCGGCAAUGGUAUGAAGAAGUUAAUCCUCGCUGUUCUCUUACUGUGUCUAGUUAUAGGGCAGAUACAAGUGGAAGCUAAGAGCUGCUGCCCAUCCACCACUGCAAGAAAUGUCUACAAUACCUGCCGUUUCACGGGUACAUCCCGUCCAACGUGUGCAAAACUGUCAGGCUGCAAAAUUAUCAGCGGGAACAAAUGCAAGCCCCCUAACGACCACCUCACCCUUGACCCGGACACUGGUAAAUAAUAAAUUUAUCUCACUUGAUUUCUUCGUGAUUUGAGUCGUUAAUGUAUUUUCCAUCUGAUGAAACGUAUUGGUUUUGCAUUGAAGAGGAAGUUAAUGUGCUUAACUUCUGCAAGUUGGGGUGUGCGUCGUCUGUGUGCAACAACAUCAACGCUGGUAAGCAACUUUUGCUCAGACAGAGAAAACAAUAAUCAUUAAUUAGCGGCAGCUAGAAUCCUAUAAUCUAAUAUAUAUAUAUAUAUAUAAUUUUAUCAGCUCUGGGAAAUGAAGAGGCGAACGAUGCCGUUGAGAGUUGCGACCAAGCCUGCUCUAGCUUCUGCAGCGUGCAUGUUGGCAGCGCCACCGUGGUUGCUUAAGCAAAUGCAUCCAACUAGAUCGUCCUUGUGCUGAAUAAUUGGAUAUCGUAUCCACUUAAAGCUGCCUUGUGUAGUACGUCUUUGUGUCUCUCUUUAUAUUCCAAUAAGGUCGGUGAUCUUGAUGCCACACACUCAGAUGUGUGUUCAUCUCCAGAUACUACUCCAUGCUACCUGCCCUUUGUGUUUUGUUCAAUAACUGGGUAUCAUAUCCCAGCCAGUAUGCCGUCUGUUUUGUGUUUGUUUCCUUCUAGUUCCAAAGGGGUCAUCAUGAUGUUACCUUCUUUCAAUAUGGUGCUUUGCAUGACUACUGUUGUAUGGUACCAUCUUGUGGCCAAUAAGUACAUCUUAUCCUAUGACCUUUGCUAUGACCCUUUGCAAAUAAGUAGAAGAUUGUUAUAAGCGUCAAUACUCCGUAUAAAUUGAUCGCUGCUGUGAGUUCCCUUUCAGCUUAUCGUAGGCAUACAUUAUUGCUAGCACGGUAAAGCCAACCAACACGAAUGAUGAAGUAAACGUAGCGGUACUUCUGUAUACCAACACCCUUACUUAAAUGUACCGGUGUCAUUCCCUACUGGCACAUAUAUUCUUAUAUGCUAGCCAGCUUGUAAAAUUAACCAAUUAAAAUAAUUAUUUCAAGAUAGAAAUAACUUAUCGGUUUCUGGAAGCAUGUGUAAUGUGAAUUCAAGGACUCGACGGAAGUUGAAUCACUUCAUCUAUAUUGCUUUCAGUAUUUUGGGUAACUAAAUUUAACAUUUGCACAUACAAAUGUUAAAGUACAAAUGUUAAAUCUAGUUACCCAAGCAGAAUAUGAAGAUAGUUUAUAGUAUAUAUAUACUAUAUAAAUCUAGUUAACAUUUAGUCUAAAUGUUAAAUCUAGUUACCUAAAAUCCUGAAAGCAAAAUGUAUAAAUAUAUAUCUUUUAAGGCAGUAUAAGCUUCGAUUCCUAUUGCUGCUCUGUUAAAUCUCAUCUUUCGUUGUGGCCCAACACUCUAGUAUGCAUGUUGCACCAAGCUUCUUUGAGCCGCUCUGCCCUCUGAUUUUGCUGCGUAGGGGAAUCUUUAUCAGGUUGGGCUACUUCCAGUUGUGCGAUGUAAAGAUUCGUAUUUUCUAGAAGGUAGACAAAAAACUCGCGUUCUCUUAAGGCAACAACCGGAAGAUUCUGCAGCGCACAGGGCAUACCAUUAUUGUAGAAACGACCUUUAGUACCGAUCUCCAACCCCCUUUAAAACUGGUUUUGCAACCGGUACCGUUAUGUCGGUCCUUUAGUACCAGAUCAAAUAAGUACCGGUUGGUAACCAGUAUCAACUUGUUUUGCGGCCAAAAAAAUAAAGAAAAAAACAGUCAGAAGGCUCGCACACACGCGCAUCACAUGAAAUAUGCGUGUGCGGGGUCCAUGGGAUUCGAACCCAUGAAAUCAAGCUGCACGCGACCCUUCGUUACCAUCUCACCUACAUAGCGCAUAUGCUUUCCUGAAGUAACCCGUGGAGGAGGCUUUAGUACCGGGUCAUAACACCACCCGGUACUAAAAAUGACUCUUCAGUACCGGGUCAUAACACCACCUGAUACUAGUAUCGGAUGGUGUAAUGACCCGAUACUAAAAGGCCUCUAGGGACCCUCAAAUUUGAACCCGGUACUAAUGCUAAUAUUAGUAGCGGGUCAAAGUGCAGCCAGAACUAAAGCAUGGGAUGAAAGGUCAUAUUUCUAGUAGUGUAUAGUUGUUGUGAAGGACUGACUUGGCUGUCCUCUCUCUUCUCCAUCCCCUUGGUCUUACGCCGCCGCUCGCACGCGAGCCGGUGCCCAACCAGAGGAGUGAGAGCUAGGGGCAGGUUGGGAGGUGGGGAUAGUGACUGGUGGCCAGGGUGAUGGUUGAUCCUGGUGGGGUUAGGGUUUCAGGGUUUUCGAGCUUCCUAUGGUCGGCGAACCUAGAGGAGAAGCUCAACAUCAGCUGCAACCCGCGAUGGUGGUGGUUUGGCCGGCGCCCGAGGCGAGGCAGCGCGGGAGUGCUGCCGGUGGGUUGGUGUUGGCACUCAUUAUUGACAACUAUUUUGUUCAUAAAAUAACACUCAAACUUGCUGCUGCUGCUGCUGCCAUCGCCACCCUAGCCAUAAUAUAAAGGCAAAAUUUGCUAAAGGACAUGCAAAAUGAUGCUAGUUUGCUGGCGGGCAUCGUUGACCUUGUAAUAUGCUACAAGACACUCUAGUUGUGUAUCAAUUUGCUGAAAGACAUUGCUAUGACUAAAAUAAUGUUUCUGGACUGAGUUGGAGAGAGAGAUGGAGUGAAAUGUCUGUUUUGCCCAUGACCCCACUGGUCAGAUCCUUCUUCUUCCACCCUCCUUUGUUCUUUCUUCAACCAUUACCCAGCUCCAGCGUGUUGCAGAUCUACGAGGGUGGCGGCCUGGGGCGAGGGGCAUCGCUCGCCCUUGGAGGAGCGCUGCGAGCGACGGCGCGGGGGCGGCAACAGCGCGUCAGAACCUGACUGUUCGUUAGCUCCUCUCGCUGCUGGGGAAGAAGGAGGGGGAUGGGCCAUGGACGGGGUUCCCUUGAAAACCUCAGCGUCGAGCUCGGGCGGCUACGCGCAGGCAGCACUAGGCUGCUUCACGGGGAGGGGGCGCGGCCAAUCAUUGGCACCCCACUGGUCCAAUGCUGAUGAAGAUGGUGCCAGCGUCGUGUGAGGACAUCUCAUCUCCUCGAGUUCCAUGGCCAGCACAGGUGAGCUGCCGCUACCACAAAACAGAGGUUUCGUGAGAGUCAAAAAACCUUAUGAAAAUAGCUAAAACCAUCAUGAAAAUAAUCCGUGACAUGACACUCUCACGAAAAUCCUCUCACAAAUAUGGUGCCAUGAAAAUACCAUUUUCAUGAGAGUGAACUGUCAUGAUUUUAUAAGCGUCAAUACUCGGUAUAAAUUGACUACUGCUGUGAGUUCCCUUUCAGCUUAUCGUAGGCAUACAUUAUUGCUAGCACGGUAAAGAGAACCAACACGAAUGAUGAAGUAAACGUAGCGGAACUUUUGUAUACCAACACCCUUACGUACCGGUGUCAUUCCCCACUGCCACAUAUAUUCUUAUAUGCUAACCAGCUUUGAAAAUUAAGCGAUUAAAAUAAUUAUUUCAAGAUAGAAAUAACUUAUCGGCUUCUCGAAGCUUGUGUAAUGUGAAUUCAAGGACUCGAUGGAAGUUGAAUCGCUUCAUCUAGAUUGCUUUCAGGAUUUUGGGUAACUAAAUUUAACAUUUGCACACACAAAUGUUAAUGUACAAAUGUUAAAUCUAGUUACCCAAGCAGAAUAUGAAGAUACUCUAUAGUAUAUAUGUACUAUAUAAAUCUAGUAAACAUUUAGUCUAAAUGUUAAAUCUAGUUACCUAAAAUCCUAAAAGCAAAAUGUAUAAAUAUAUAUCUUUUAAGGCAGUAUAAGCUUCAAUUCUCUGUUAAAUCUCAUCUUUCGUUGUGGCCCAACACUCUAGUAUGCAUGUUGCACCAAGCUUCUUUGAGCCGCUCUGCCCUCUGAUUUUGCUGCGUAGGGGAAUCUUUAUCAGGUUGGGCUACUUCCAGUUGUGCGAUGUAAAGCUUCGUAUCUUUUAGAAGGUAGACAAAAUACCCGCGUUCUGGAAGAUUCUGCAACGUGCACGUUGGCGCUGCCACCGUGGUUGCUUAAGCAAAUGCAUCCAACUGAAUCGUCCUUAAGCUGAAUAAUUGGAUAUGGUAUCCACUGCUUAAAGCUGCCAUGUUUAGUACGUCUUUGUUUUUCUCUCUUUAUAUUCCAAUAAGGUCGGUGAUCUUGAUGCCACACACUCAGAUGUGUGUUUAUCUCCAGAUACUACUCCAUGCUACCUACCCUUUGUGUUUUGUUCAAUAACUGGGUAUCAUAUCCUAGCCAGUGUGCCAUCUGUUUUGUGUUUGUUUCCUUCUAGUUCCAAAGGGGUCAUCAUGAUGUUACCUUCUUUUGAGGUGUCUAUGAUGACUUCGUUAAUAUCAAUAUUAACCAAUUCAAUCUGUCUUAACUAUUUGUAAGGGGUAUGAUGUAUGCAUGAUUAUAACAAUGAUUGCGCAUACAAUCGCCGCCAAAGAAACGGUCAAUACCAUUAAGACAUAUUACAGACAAUUCUCAUAAUCUAUAAUGAAUAUACAUAUUCACUACUGCAGAAGACUGUCAUUUGUAUCGGCUCAUACGUGCCAGGGCAAAGGUCACCCUUGCAUUAAGUACAUUUGCACGGUAAAGACAACCAACACGAAUAAUGAAGUAAACAUGCCGGUGCUUUUGUACACCAACACGCUUACUUAAAUGUACUGGUGUCAUUCCUCACCGGUAGCCGGCUUGAAAAUUAACCAAUUAGAACAAUUAUUUAUUGUAUCGGUGUGAUUUUUGACCUAUUGGAAUAUGAAUUUGACCGUUACUGCAUUCGUCAAGACUCAAGAGAGAAAUAACUGAUCGGCUUCUUAGAGCGUGUGCAAUGUGAAAUCAAGGACUGGAUGGAAGUUGAAGCGCUAGCACUAGUAGAGAAACGACUUUCCAUCCACCCCCUUUUGUCCCGGUUUAAAGUUGGCUCGGGAUAAAAGGUUCACCAACCGGGACUAAAACUCAGUCACUGGUGGGAGGCUCACCAACCGGAACCUUUUAUCCCGGUUGCAAAGGCUAAUGGGAAAAAAAGACUCUGAGAGGCCUUUUAUCCCGGUUUGAAACACCAACCGGGAUAAAAGACCCCCCUUUUAUCCCGGUUGGUAACACCAACCGAGAUAAAAGGGUCAAGAGCCUUUUAUCCCGGUUGGAAACACCAACCGGGAUAAAAGACCCCCUUUUAUCCCGGUUGGUGUUUCAAACCGGGAUAAAAGGGCCCCCACGAGGUGACUGGAAGGUGACUGGAAGGGGAUUAAAUCGUGGGGGACCCUUUUAUCCCGGUUGGAAACACCAACCGGGAUAAAAGGGGGUCUUUUAUCCCGGUUGGUGUUUCCAACCGGGAUAAAAGGGUCCCCCACGAGUUAAUACAAAAGGAUAGUAUCCCCUACAUAGUCAGAUGUGGUGUGUAGGUGGGAUGGUAAGGAAGCUACGCGCGAGCUCCGGAAUUUUUUUUUUUUUUUUUUGCAGCGUCGGCGCUCUCUACCCUUUUAUCCCGGUUGGUAUUACCAACCGGGAUAAAAGGGGGUCUUUUGUCCCGGUUGAGUGACCCGGGAUAAAAGACCCCCCCUUUUUUCCCCGGUUAGUUUAUCCCGGAUGCAUUUUCGGGAUAAAAGCACCCUACCAACCGGGAUUAAAGCUCACUUCUCUACCAGUGUAGCUUCAUCUUCCGCUGCAAGUUAAUUGCUUGGAUAAGAAGUUGUAGCCGCUGCAAGUUAUAAAUAGUCCCGCUGAUGCUGUGCUCCGAAGUCUAUACUAUAUAUGCGGAAACUAGAUUGCUUUCAGGAUUUUGGGUAACUAAAUUUAACAUUUGUACAUAAAAAUGUUAGUUUACGAAUGUUAAAUCUAGUUACCCAAGCAGAACAAGAAGAUAGUAUAUAGUAUAUACUAUAUAAAUCAAGUUAACAAUUAGUCUAAAUGUUAUAUCUACUUACCCAAAAUAUUGAAAGCAAAGAAAGAAUAAGUAUAUAUCUUUUGUUGGAAAAUUGGUCCACGGAGAGGCCCAUUUAGGCCUCGUUCGUUUCACCGGGAUGGGAUUCCAGUCAGGAUUACUUCCAAGUUCGGUUUGAGUGAUUCCACCCGUGUCACUCAAUCCGGCUAGGAUUCAUUCUAUGGGUGAGGAGGUAUGGUUUCAAUCCAGGCCAUCUAAUGUAGAAGGAUUCCAAUCCAGGCCGGUUUUCGUUCCAGGCCAGACUAAAACGAACAACACUUUCAAUGCAAGUCUGGUUUCAAACCGGGCCAUUUCAAACCACCCGGAAUGGACCUCGUUCCAGGCCAAUCCGGUGAAAACAAAUGAGGCCUUAAUGGAAUCCCAAAGCAAGAGUUCAGUGGCAUUCUAUAGUCCCAUGCUGCUAGUUUGAGUUGGUCGAAGCCAACUUAAAUAGGAGAGCUCUCUCACUUCUCUAAAUACGUAACUGAAGGAGAGAAGGGGGCUUGGGUUACACAACGCACGCACGCACGCAUAUUUGCGUUCUUUUCGCGUAACCAACCGCGUGACUUGAAACUUGCGACGUAGCGUGCUGCUAAGUCAAGUUGAUAUAACCUUUUUGCCGUUUGCAUGUAAUCUUUUGACAACGGUCAUUGGAGGUGAUAAGCACGCAGUCAAUACCUUAAUCUUGAGUUAAUAGGGUGGUUACUACUGCCAAUUAGUGGGGCAAUUUUGUAGGGGAAACGGUUAGCAGAGGGCUACCGUCUUCUCUAUAAGAAGUUCUGGAGACGUCCAGGAACACACAUGUACAUGUGAGAGACCCACAAAUUCCUUCCCUUCUCCCUUUUCCAUGUGGUGAAGUGUGCUGUGGUACUGAGCUGCUUGAUCUCGCCGCUCUUCUCCUUGGCAUGCACCGAGGAGGAGGGUGAGCGGUAUCUCCGAGCUAUUGCCGUCAGGAAGCCUGCACGAGGGACAACAAAAAGUUUUUGGGUAGCGCAACUGCCAGCACAACUCUCCCUCCGCCUCUUCUUCACGGUUGAUGGCCACCACAAGCAUAAACCUCGCCUUCGCAUCCACGCAAAAGGGUCGCUGGGGUGCCUUCUUGCAUCGCUUCUCAGCCUCCUUGACUUGCGGCCAGCCAAGAACUGCGCCACCACCUCGGGUGCACGCCACCACUCCAGGGCUGCUACCCCAUGCCUGCGGCCGCCGCCGGCCACCACGCGUGUGCAACCGCGUCGCACCGCUUCCUUGCUUUGUGCCACCACUGCUGCUGUACCACCAGCUCCACCACCUUGGGCUGGUCGCCAGAGUGACUGAUAACUUAUUAUCUGUAACUACUAUUAACUCAGGGAUACAUGCGUCUUUUGCUUCUCCUACUAAUAUGUCCUAAAAUAUCUAGGAUGCCUUAUAUUUCUGGACAGAGGAAGUAUUUGAAUAAAAUGAACCAAUUUAAAAAAAUGUGUUGUACACUACUACAGAAAGACCUAUCAGUGUCAAACCCAAAAAUGUUGUCACCGCCAGUUUUGGGCAUCAUUGGUGAAAGGUUGGCGGUGAUGGGCUUUCCCUUCAACAACGGCACUGGAGCCGACGGUGAUUGACAUUAGAAAACAAAAAAGGGGACCCUACCUAGCCACCCCUGCAACCCGGCCGGCCGUGCCUCCCCUCAUCCCCACCACCUCGCCUCCCCAUGACCCCCCGCCGGCGCCCUUGCGCCUAGCCCCCUCAACUGCCCAGCCGGCCACCCUCAUCACGAGAGAGAGGUGCAUGUUGUAUAAUUGCGUGAAUUUUUUAAUGUUUAAUUUCAUGUAAGUUCCGUGUAAUAAAUUGUACAAGUUUUAUUGUAUAUAUGAAUUCCAUAUAUAUAUAUAUAUAUUUAUAAUUUAAUGUAUGGUUUCAUGUGUAUAUUUCAAUCAUGUGUAUAUUUAGUAGAUUGCCGAUUUUCUUUUUCUACUAGACAAGGGUUGAUGUAUAAUUACGUGUAUAUGUUUAUUGUACGGGCAAUUAGGACAAGUUUUGUAUAAAUUUCUUUUAUUUGAUGGUUGUUGUAUGGUUUCAUGUAUAUACAUUUAUUGUACUACUUUAGACAAUUUUUAAUUUAAUGUUUCUAUGAUUAGAUGUGUGUAUAACUAAUUGUAUUAUUAGUUAAGAUGGGAGCUAAAGAGGAUGAAAGGUAUAUAAUGGAGCAGAUUAUUGCUAGCUCAAACGUUGCAAGAACCUACACCGAGGGUGAGGGUAGCUAGGUGGACAUGUACCUCAACAUGUCCAGUGAUGGCAAUGACGAUGAGGAGCACGAGCAUGACAUCUAUGAUAAUGCGGAACAAGACAUUGCAGAAUUGGAAGGUUCUAAUGAGGUGUGCUUCAUGUUGACAAUCUAGUUGGCUUUUUUUCGUUGGUCACACCUUAGUUACCAUAGAACUUCGUCUCGGGAGAAGAUUGGUGGUGGUAUGGUGAUUGGAAUUUUAUUUCCACGAAAUCUGAUUUCCAUCGAAUCAUAUCCCUUGUAUUUAUCUUCUUUUUAUUUGUGAGAGCAUCUUCUUUAUGCUUGCAAAACAAUUCAAGUGCACAUACUACCCCUAGGGUGACGAUUGGGAGUAGAAAUAAUUGCCAACAAAACAACACCACAUCCUAAGAUUCUUAACUUGUGGCAUAAUUAGUCUAGUAAAAAGAAAGAUAAAAACCUAAUGGGUGUAUGUGAGUGCAAUGUGUAUAUGCAUAUGAGUGGAAGGCAUAUAAGCAAAGACAAUAUUUACACAUAGUUCUAAACACCAUGUUUACAGCUAGGUUGCUGAAUUUCUCCAUAGCCAUAGAGAUUAAUUAACCAAGGUCAAAACACGAUGUCUAUCCCAAGAUCAGUAAUUAUUUAUAGCACAAGAAAAAGAAAGCGCAUUGCAAAGUUUAUAAACCAACCAAUACAGCAUGAAAACAAGAUGAAUAGCUAGCAAGGUUUAUUAAACUGAAUGAUGACGGUCUGUAAGCAAGUUUAAACACCAUCUUUACACAAGAUUGCAAAUGGAAAAUGCCCAUAUGAAGCACUAACAUGGAUAUGAAAUCAUUCAUCAUAAAGCGUAAAGAACAACCAAGCCAACCAUAUGCAAAGCAUGAAUGGAAUGCAAUGAAGGUGCAAGAGAACAUUUUUGGAUGAACACAUUAUGAUGAUGGCAAAAUGCAAUGCAUGCAGAAAAAAUAAAUAUGAACAUGAAUAUGAUGAUCAGGGGCGGACCCACUAUUGUGGCCUGGGUAUUCCUCGGCAUACCCAAUAUUUUUGGGAAAAUGUUUAGUAGUUUUUAAUGGCAUAUACAUGUAUAAUAUAGUUUAGGUGUUAAAAUUGAUAUUCACAGCUAUUUUGGGCUCCAAUUCGCGUCCAAACCAACCUGGCCCACAGACCGCACCCGGCCGCCCGGCCCAUCGGCCCAUCUUGUCACUGAUCCUCCCACCACCACACUCAGCCCGUCAGUUAGUCAGGUCCCGAGCUCCUGCCUGACCUAGUCCGCUACCACCGCCAGGCGCCAGGCACAGCUGUACACGCCGCCCCCGUCCACCCACGUCCGCCGCACGGCCGCGUCGCGCCCCCCCCCGGCGCCCGCUGCUGCCAGAACCCAUUAGGCCUCCACCGGCAAGUCCACCCACAGUCCCGCGCGACGCGGCAGCCUCUUGGCUCUCGGCGCUCGCGGCGCGCCAAUGCCUGCGCAGCCCCAGCAGGCGACUGCCCCCCCCCCCCCCGCAUCGGGCCUCGGCCCCUCCCCAGCUCCCCCUCCCCCCUCCACCAGGACUGCCUGCUGGCCCCCACCGCGAGGUAAUCGAAAUGGACUGCUCAAUCUCUCAAUCUGUUGACAUGAUGCACACGGUUGCAAAAAUAGAUGUGUCAAAAUAGAUGUAUUGCCAAUUGCUAUAGAUGCAUAUGGUUGACAUGAAGAAGUCAAAAAUGACAUUUGGUUCCUUGUAGGCAGUCAAAAAUGAAGAAGUCAAACAAUAUUGAUCUGAAAUCAAUGCGGGAAAGGGCUACGAAGACACACGGGUAGAUUCCCUUGUGAACUUUUUAUGUCGUUCGUCUAAAUAUAUUUUUGCAAUGGGCAUACCCUACUCUGAAAUCCUGGGUCCGCCACUGAUGAUGAUGGUCUAAACAUAAAACAAGCCUAGAUUAAUUAGCUACAACUGAAAUUAAGCAAAGGUUAAUGUCAUUGACCCUAGCUCUAUCCUAGCUUUUACUAAAGUCCCGGCACAUAUAGUGGUUGGGCCCACUCUCUCUACUUCCCUCUCUGCUGCAUGCACACACACGAGCAACUGGAGGCCCAACAAAGCCCAGAAGGGUUCGGCCGAACCCGUCCGAUCCAGUCUGAGCGCCGCUCCCUCCCAGCCUUCGCGCAGAUGCUCCUCCAACGUUCCUUGACCCCUCCCUCAGUGUCCCAUUGGGUUUAACAUUGUAGGAGAGGAGUCCCUUUUUUAAAAUCUCAACCACCUCCUCUCCUCAUUCACUCCACUCUCAUCUCCAUCAAACUCACCAAGAUCCACAUCGGAAAUACCUGCUUACCACCAUGGCUGGCAAAGCCCUCGUCCCUUUCACCAACUUGGGCUUGACCAUUGAUCUCGAUGGGAAAAUCACUCCAGCAAAUGUCAUUGUCCCUGUCGGCGAUCUGGCGAUGGAGGAGGUCCAGGCACUAGAGGUCGAGCCCCUAGCCAUCAUACCGCCCAAGGGGUAAAGCAGGAGCAUGACAGGCGCUGCUAGGGGUUCAGCCGAACUCCCAGUUCAGCCAAACGAGGACGGCGUCGCCUCGGCCUCCCGCUCGACUGCAUGCUUCCCCUUGCCAAGGAGGACUCCAGAACAGCGGGCGCGUGCGUCAAGUCCCUACAAAAGGCUGAAAUACAAUGAAUAUCCAGGGUCACCCUUGAAGAUGGGUGAACGCUACGCCGGGUCCUUGUUUGACUAGUACGGCGAUGCAUUCUGCCACCGCUAUGUCGUUGUCGAGAUUAGCGGAUCAAGACUUAGACUAGUAAAUUUCUUUUAUGCGCGUAAGGCUUCAGAUGGUGGCGUGGGAGACAUGGGUUUUAUACUAGUUCGGGCAAUGGAAUACCCUACGUCCAGUGUCUGGAGCUGCUUGUGUUGCCCACGCGGGGUUCUGUAGUAGGGGUUACAGGUGUGCGAGAGAGGGAGCUAAUCCCAGGUCUCUUAGGCGUGUUCCGGUCCUCUAGAUGGGAGAAGUGUGUUCUGUUUGCUUGGGAGUAUCGGUUGUGUCUGAGUUGUCUCCGGAGCCUCCUCCCGUCUCAGGUCCCCGAUUCUCCUUUCAUAGCACAAGGAGACCAUCGGGGUUACAGACGAGACCGAGCGUGGGGAGGAGUAAAGAGAUAAACAUAGCUAGGUAAAAAUACAACAAGAAAGGGGGGAACCAAGUUUCUAGGUCACCGGCGUCCUCGCCGGCCUUCGACUUCCGCCGGCGCAUUUGUCGGAGGAGGGUGGCCGCCAUCGCGUUCUGUCGAUGGCUUCCUCGGUGACUGUAGCCACCGGGCGUGAUGAUGGCAUUUCGUCGUGACCCUUUGUCUGUUGGGGGAGGCGGCGGAUCCUGCCAUUCUGCUGACGGCUCGCGGAGUGCGAACGUCGCAUCCCUGCCGCUGGGCACGCGGGGCGCGAGAACGUGCGAGGCUUCCCCCUACCCCAGGCGGCGCAGGCCAUGAGUGCCCUGUGGCAAAUCGGAGGAGGCCGCAGCUACUGUAGCUUGUACUGUGCAGCCACGUAUGGGUACUUGUGGCAGGUUGCGUGGUGGAUGCGGAUAUCCUUCUCCCUGACAGAUCUGCGGCGCAUUUAUGGCGAGAUCGACAUGGGGACCCACAAGACCCGCGCCCAAGGCGGAUACUUGUCUGGAGGGCCCGGGUUAGCCUGACCCCCUACGCUUGGGGUCGGGCGAGGCGGAGACUUGCGGCGGGGCGUCGGACGCUCCCGACACUAGACCUGCGGUCGCGCAAGGCGGAGCUUGGUCUUCCGGGGGUCGGGGGUGCCGGACCCCAGGAUGCGGGGUCGGGCGAGGUGGAGCGUAAUUCUUGCCUCCCAUGUUGGGCCGAUGGCAGUCUUUGUUACCUCUAGUGGGCUUGGGCCUUUAUGUUUUGUUGUUUCCAUGGGCUUCGAGAGGUCGUUAAUAUUUCCCCCCAACAGUAGCCCCCGAGCCUGUGGUGGAGUGGGGGCGCUCCUCCGGAGGCUACUAUCAUCGCCCCUAGGGAAUCCUCGCAGUUGAUCCGGGAUAGGAGGUGUUGUUUGCACGGCUUGACCGAGGGGGUCGAUUAGGCGACGCAUCCUGUGAGCGACUCGGUGCGGGAGGGUUUCUUGUUGUUCCCUUCUGUCUGAGAGCCUUAAGUCGAGACCACCUGCGUGGCCUUUGGUUGCAAGGCCAGCCCCCGAGCCCCCGCACGUUGCAGGGGACCGGUCGGAGGCUAGGUCGACUUUUGUUCAUUACCCUCAAGCGUCUGUUCGCUAGGACGGAGGGGGCGAGCCGUGCCAUGCUAUCCUCAUCGGACGAACCAUGGUGCUCAUUGAGUUACUAACGGGUUGAUUCGAGUGGGAUCCCGGUCCCCGUUCGGGGGGGGUCCGGCUUGGGCCAAGCUGGUGGCGUACCCCAGGCUCCGGUCGGCCAGUUCAUAUAGUUCCUGAGUCCGUUCGGUCGGACCGGGGGCUCAUUGCCUUUCUUCGGGGAAAAACCAUGAACUUUGAUGCCGGUCCAGACUCGAAUGUGAGAUUGAGACGCCCGGGGCUGUCGCGUGCCCGGGUGAUGGCCGCUAGCGGACCCGUCUCCUCUCACCCCUCACUCGGGGGUAUCCUGAGGCGGCUGUCGAACCCGUGGCGGGCCAGCCUUCGAACCUCUGGAUCGUAAUGGGCCGUAGGGGCGUUUUCAGCCCCGUAUCCCUUUUUACCUUUUGGUGGGCCUUGGGCCGAAUCAUGGAGGAGGUCGGGCCUUGGGCCGGAUGCGGAGGAUGUCGUGCCUUGGGCCGGAUGUGGGGGACGUCGUGCGUGUCUUCCGGGAGACGAAGUGGUGGAGGGUGCCAACCCGCGAAUCGAGGGAGGAGGGGAUGUUUCUACUGCAGGUCAUGCGCACGGUUUCCGAAAAGGCAGCGGGCGUGACGGGACGUACCUCGCGCCGCAUUUAUUGCGAUGGGGGCGUCUGUUCUGCUUCCCUCGUGCCUUCCCUAUAAAACGAGGACUUCGCCUCGCCGGUUCCGCCCGCCAUCUACCUUCAAGCCUUUUCGCCUCCUCGCGCGCCCUUAGCUUUCCUGUGCCCGCUUCGUCUUCCUCCGCCCAGUGCCGCGCCCUUUCUCCCCAUCCGCCGUCGAGUUCUUCUCCCUCCGGCGAUGGGAUCCUGGGCGCGUUCCCACUUCGGCCCCUCACGCGCCGAAGGCCUAGUGAGGAAAGGCCUCCUUUGCGAGAGGACGGAGACGGAUGAGUGGGGGUUCCCUGAGAUGGAAGAGGUGCCGACUCCGCCCACCGGCUACGUCGUUUCCUUUGCCCACUUCCACGAGAGGGGGUUUGCGACUCCGCCGAGCCUCUUCUUCCGCGGGCUUUUGUAUUACUACGGGCUUGAGCUGCAGCACCUCAACCCCAACGGGAUUCAGCACGUCGCGGCGUUCGUUGCGGUGUGCGAGGGGUUCCUGGGCAUUGAGCCCAACUUCUCGCUGUGGAAGUACUUCUUCACGGUCAGCCUAUACCAGAAGGCCGAGAAGAGGGGAAGCCAGCAGCGGUCGACCCCGGUGCCGAUAGGGUGCGUCGGAAUCCACCUCUGCCAUACUCGCGCCAAGGAGUAUAUCGCGAUGAAGACCGCGGCAUCCCACAAGGGGUGGCACCAGCAAUGGUUCUACGUGAAGAACUACUCCAACCCCCCCUGCCGGAGUUCACCGGCCGCAUUAUUGAAGCGGCGCCGGAGGUGUGGGUGUACGGCCCGGUGGAGAAGGAGAAGAAGCGGAUCACCGGCCUGCUGCAGGCCAUCGAGCACCUGAAGGAGAGGGGACUGACCGGAGCCGGAGUCAUCGGGGCGUACCACGCCCGGCGGGUGGCGCCGCUGAUGCUCCGGGUCCGCUCGCUCGCCGACAUGACCCCCGGUGCUCUCACCGAUGGCACUGUCCUCGCGACGGGUGCUCUCGCUGCCUCCGAGAUCCGGCAGCGGAUCCGGGAGGCGCUGGAGGACAAGGACGCCGAUUACCCGGUGCCCGGCCACCCUCCGAUGCGCCCGGACGAGAAUUUCAUUGAUCUGGUAAGGAUUUUGCGCGCCAGUUUCCCUCUCUUGCGUUUCUUGGUAUGCCGUUCUGACGCGAGGCCCUCUGUGUUUGCAGGGUAGCAUGACCCGGGUCGUCGACUUGCGUCCGCCAGUGUCGGAGGACGCCGAGUGGCGGUAGCAGAACCGUCUCCUUGCCGAGAAGCAAAAGUGACGCAAGGACAAGAGACAGCGAAGAAGAAGAAGAGGGCCGCCAAGGAGUUCCAGCGGCGGCGGUGGGGAUAGGUCGUGUCGGAUGACGAUGACGAUGAGAAGGAGGAGGAGGAUGACGAGGAGGAGGAGGAGUUUAUCCUGUCCCCCCGGUCAGGGGCGCUUGUUAUCCGGGAGCCGCGCUCCCAAGCGGCCAUGGGGGACAAGGCGGGCGAGCUGCCUGCCCGGACCCGAUCCUGCGAAGCUUUGGGGGCGCGCCCCAGGGGUCGGCGCAGAGCGCCCCCCGGGGGUCGACGGAGCCGACCCCCAUCCCUACACCUGCAGCCCAGGAGCAGAGGAGCAGCGACAAGCGGCCGUUGCCAGAUGCCCCGGGGUCGGCGUCCAGCUCAGAGGCGAAGCGCGCGCGCCGCCCUUGCGCUGGGGGAACGUGAGUUGAAUUUCCUUGCGAAUCUCGUUCCUUUCCAUGCAUUGUGUUUGUUUCCGCUGAUGCUGUUUGUUGUCUCACAGCACCGCCCCUCAAGGCCUUGUCCCGCCGUUGGCGCCAAAGAAGGCGUUGCGGUGUUGUCGCCUCUGCGGGGCGGACCGCGGCUCCGCCGGCGGCGAGUGGCGGGGUCACUGGUGAGACCGCGGGUCCUACCGCGGAGGUGGCCCCUGCGGCGGCAACCGGUGGAGUGGUGCCACCGCCGGGCAUGGGACAGGGUCUGGACCCCGCUCCGUCCUCCGCCUCUUCGGCCGACCCCGCGGUGCAGAGUAUCGCUCCUGGGGGCCCUCAGGCCGGGGAGGUGAUUGACCUCGACGCCGACGAGGUGGAGGAGACGGCGGCGGUGGAGACGGGGGCGGUUGCCCCAGCGGCCAUGACGGGGACGACGACGGCGACGGGGGAAGGAGAGUCUACCCCCGCGGCCACGGCGGGGACAGUGGCGACAGAGGAGGCGGGGACGCCCGCCCCGGCGGCUGCGACGGAGGAGGCGGCGGUGACGGAGACGGGGGCUUCCGCCCGGGAAGCCACAGCCGAGGUGGCAGCGGCGACGGAGGUGAAAGUGCCUGUUCUGGAGGCCACGGUGGGGGUGGGGACGCCUGCCUCGUGGCCACGACGGAGGGCGAGGCGGCCCCAGGGACACUUGCUCCGGCACCCGCGUUGGAGGCGGUGGCGCCGACGGGUUGGCCCGUGGCGGCCUCGACGGGGGCGGGGGUGCGUGCGCCGGGACCGUCGGUGAGGCCGGCGACUUCCGGGAUGGUGGUGCCCGUCUUGACGGCGGCGGCGGCGCGGUCGGCCCCCGCCCUUGCCUCUACCACUCCCAUUCCCAAGGCGUGGAGCGGAUCCGUCCUGCGUUGGUCGUCUCGUGACGACCCGCAGAGGCCCCUCUUCACGUUGGAUGAUGCCACAGAAUGGGGCAAGUGGCAGGCGCUGCAGGGCGGACUCGCUAACGUCCGCGCCGCUCUAUCUUCGGCGUUGGGGGAGCUGGACGGCGUCAUCUUCCCCGGUGGCCGGGUAUGGUGCUUUCUCCGUUGGUUAUUUUCUUCCCGUUACUUCGUCCCUGAUGGCACAUUGUUCUGCAGGCCCUCCAAGAAUGUAGCCGGGGAAAAUCUGAUUUCCUUUGGCUCGAGCAGGGGCUCUGGGAGCGCUUCAACUUGGAGUUGCAGCGGACCGGGGAGCUGACCAUGCAAGUCGCCACCGUCUAGCAUGUCAUCGACGAUCUGCGAAGGCACGAGCAGGCGGCACAGGAGGACGCGCGGCGGGCGGAGGCCAAGUUCCAGGUCGUUGCCGAAAGGGCUCGCUGCGACCGCGAGGAGUUCCAGGCCGUUGCCGAAAAGGCCCGCCACGACGCUGAGGAGCUCGCACGGCUGAAGGUGCAGCAUGAAGCUCUUCAGAAGAGCGGCAGAGGGCCUGGCAGGACCGGGACGCCGAGAAGGUCCGGAAGGAGGAGGCUGAGAAGGUGGCGGCCAACCUUGGGGCUGAGGUCAGCCAGCUCCAAGUGCAAGCGCGAGAGCUUCAGGCCUCCGUGGCCCAGGGGCUCGACCAGGAGCGCCAGCUGAAGGCCUAAUCCGAGGGUAUGACUCUGUUUAUUUCUUUGUCUUUGUGAUGUUGCGGUGAUAUUUUAUUUGGCGGGUUCUUCUGGAUGAUCCUUGCAGAUGAGCUCAACUGGCUGAGGGAGGUGCUUGACGCGGAGCGCGCUGAGCACGGCGACCUGCGGGACGCGGUCCGCGUCAUCUGUGACUUCCUUAGUGUGGUCCAGGGGGAGGGGACGAGCUCGCUGGCGGCUCGUGUCCUCGGGACGUACCGCCGGACCAGCGAGAUCGCCCUGGAAGCGCUUCGCACCGGCUUGAGGCAAGCCUUUGGGGUCUUCGGCUCCCACUAUUCCGGCAUCAACUUCGCCGGGAUGAGCGGGGGAUACGCCACCGGCUACUACGAGGCCGAGCUGGAUGAGAUCGACGUGUCGGUGCUCAGCCCGGCGGAGGCCUUGGUGAAGCUCCUCGAGGAUGAGGCCGUCCCGCCCGAAGAUCCCCGGACGAGUUAACUAUAUCGGGCUGGCGCCCCAGAUGUAAAUACGUUAGGGAAAGACUUGUUUUUUGUGAGGGCCGUAGAGGCCUUUUCUAUGAAUUGUCGUAAAAAAGUUUUUGAUUCCCUUUCUUGCUUUUUGGACUUGGAAAGUUUAGAGCACGUUGUCGGGCGUGUCAGUAAGCUUUGAUGAGCGAAGGCACCGUAGCCGCUGGGGCGUCGUUUUUUUUGCAGUCCGAUCAAUCUUGCCUGAACACCGUUCGUGCACUUUCUCCUUUUUAUGCCCAAAAGUUCAGAAAGAGGGUCGGCUCGGAAAGAGAAAGCGUUUUGAGAGGGUGUCAAGUGGCUUAGGUACUUGCGGCAGGUUGCGUGGUGGACGCGGAUAUCCUUCUCCCUGACAGAUCUGCGGCGCAUUUAUGGUGAGAUCAACAUGGGGACCCACAAGACCCGCGCCCAAGGCGGAUACUUGUCUGGAGGGCCCGGGUUAGCCCGACCCCCUACGCUUGGGGUCAGGCGAGGCGGAGACUUGCGGCGGGGGGUUGGACGCUCCUGACCCUAGACCUGCGGUCGGGCGAGGCGGAGCUUGGUCUUCCAGGGGUCGGGGGCGCCUUACCCCGGGAUGCGGGGUCGGGCGAGGCGGAGCGUAAUUCUUGCCUCCCAUGUUGGGCCGACGGCAAUCUUUGUUACCUUGGGUGGGCCUGGGCCUUUAUGUUUUGUUGUUUCCAUGGGCUUCGAGAGGUCGUUAAUAUUUCCCCCCAACACUAUGAGGAGGACUUGUGGGCAGAAAGUCAGCUACCACAAACUUGCCUCUGAAUAUUUGGAGUGCAAACAUUGGAUGGUGGUUGUGGAGAGCCCCAGCCAUACCUCGCACCCGUGGAGAGGUAAUUGUCGGAUUGCUUGGUUCGUCUCUAGAAUGCGACAAGGUCAGGCGCCACCUCUCACUGCUGCCAGUCAGAAGGCCGAGGGGCCAGUUUCAACAUAGUAAUGAGAAUCUCCGAAGGCCAAUAUGGUUAAGCAGCUAACCUCCAUGAUCAUAGACUUACGUUUAGAAAAUAGGAGGCUUAGCGAUGCGUUAACAGAGCAGAAGUUAGAAACAGAAGAACUUAAGGACGACUUCCGUGUCCUCCGCCUUGGUCUUUGUGCUAAGAUAAAGCGCUUGUACAAUGCCACGGGGAAUGACGGUCUCUACGAUGCAGCUCAAUAGACGUGCCCCUUGUAUCCUUUCCUUUAGGCACUUUAGAAUAUGUUUAUUUGUUUUCCUUCAUUUUAAUUUCCAAUAGAUUGUUAGCGCCUCCAAUUUAAUUUCAAUAAAGUGUAGACUCACCGGUCAUCCAACUUGAUGGAGUCCUUUUGUCACCUAGUUGUCUUUGGAAGAAGUAGCUGGGUACAAAAUAAGUGUGGGGGAGAGCCACAGACUCUCUAGAGCUGAAACAAUGCACAACACCCACAAAUAGAGAAAACCACGCUGCACCAGCACGUACGUGAAAGUGGAGCCAGAGCUGGACCCAUAGGGGUUUGGCCAACCCAAGGGGUGGCCCACUCGGGCCAUCUUCAUCCACCGCGUCGGUUUGUGUCUCUUUACCCCUGAUCUCCCUGAUUCAUGAGUUUGAAUGAAUUUUAAAUCUGAUCAACUAAUUCAAACUCAACUAAAAUGAAUCAACUGCUCCACCUGCUCUACAUGUUUUCUAUGGUUGGCUUGCAUAUGUUUUAUUUCAUGCUUAUCAUCUUGAUGCUUGUGAACAAAUAUCUUUAGGACAGCAUGCUCAUCUAAGUAGUUGAUGUGUAUGAUAUGGUUCGAUGAUAUGAUCUUCACUCUUAAUGCUUAAGUGCUUGGGAAAAUCUAUUUGAAAAUUUAAAAGCCUUUUUGAAAUCUCCUCUUUGAUGUGCCAAAGUCCUACCAAAGCCAUAUGAUAAGUUAUCUUGAAAAACCAUUUGCAUAUGUUGCUUGUCUUUGCAUUGAGCUUUGUCAAAUUGGUGUGACCCUUGUCACAAUUCUUUUCAUACUUUCAUGAUCAAGACUCAUGUGCACGCCAUAUACCCCUUGCUAUGCUUCUAUGAGAUGUUAGCAUUGUACCAUCCAUUCAUUCCACAAAAUAAAUGCUCCACCAUAUGUGUUGGUCUCCUUCUAAGAUUAUUGUUACAAAAGAGAUAUGGGCUAUCAAAAAAAAAUAUGAAUGUCCAAGAAAGUUGGACACAUGAAUGUCCAAUAAAAAGAAAAAGAAAGAUAGCCAUGUCCUCAGAAAUAUUUACAAAGGGAGAGAGAUCAUACAAAAAGGAGUUUCCAUUCCAUCCACCACAUCCAUACAUGUGCACAUCUUGAUCUGAUUGUAUGACUUAUUUUUCUCUUUGGAUCUGGUCUUUGACUUUGCAAUAUAUGUGAUGCAAGCAUGCCUUAUCCUUCAUAGCCUACCUUGAGCUCCACAUAUAGCCAUCAUUAGAAGUAGGAUGAAGAAAGGCAAGUCUAAUGCCUUGGUGAGGACAUAUACACAUUGAGUGAUCUGAGAGAAUCAAAUGAGGAGCUAAGCAAGGUUUUGUUUUGAAAACUAAUUGAAAAAUCCCAAGCUACUUGGCAUAAGGAGUUGAGGUGACUUGAUUCAAGACCAUUACAUUCCUCAACUACCCAAGAUGGCAUGAUAGACACUCCAAAGUUCACAAGUGCAGGUAUGGUUUGGAAUAUCUUUUAGGCUCGCUUCAUACCUUUGAAAGUUAUGUUUCACCUUAGUCCUUUCUCGUUCACUCAAGGAUAAGCAAAGGCUAAGUGUGGGGGUGUUGUUGAUGGCUCUUAAGUACAAAAUCUGCGCCAUCAACUCUUGCAUAAACACAUAAAAUAUGAGCAUCAACAAUAGUGGUAGGAGUUAUUACAAACGAAUUCCACAAGUCUUGGUGAAUAUUUGUAUGCAAGCCCAAUAGGAGAGAAAAGACACCUCAAAAGCAAGGAAACACACUCUCAACCAAUCAAGAGCAAGCACAUGGAACCAUGGGCCCACAACCAAAAGGAAAUCGACUACAUUCCAAACACCCUAUACCCACAUGAGAACCCAUAGGGCAGUGACCCAGAGCAAAGGUGAUGCCAGAGUGUAGAUGGUAGUUAGCAUGCCAAAUUUUGAACCGCAAGCGCUCGGAUUAGUUGUUUCUUUUCCCUUAGAGAUUCCCCCAAGGUUUAUCAAUCCAUGGAACAAGGGAUUUGCACGUUUCACUAAGCACUAAUCAAUGUAAUUGAAAGCUUUUCGAAUAAGAUAUGAUUAUGCUAACAAAGGAACUAAGCAAUCUAGAUUAAGAUGGAUAGAGAGUACAGGUUGUGAACAAGAUAGAUUAAACGCUUGUAGAUGCAAUCACCAUGCAUGAAUGAAUUAGAUCUAGGUGUUAUUGUGAGUGGUUGUGAACCAUGCCCAACACUUUCCCACCCGCAACAUUGUCACUACAUGUGGGUACUCAACUAUCGGAACAUAAGAACACAUCAAGAUGAUCAUUCUAGGUAAGCAAAUAAGCAACCCAAAGUAGCGCUGGCCAGCCUUUUCAUGAAAGAGCAUCAUCAAGAUAAGAUUGAUAACAAAAUAGAUCUCAACCAAAGGUUCAGCGAUUACAAAUCAAGAUCUUCGUAUAACCCCGAUGACAAAUAGAGGUAUUACCCCCAUGAUCUUACACAUGUUGAUGAAUUUUAGGGUAAAGGACACCCUGUAGAUCAACUGGACCAAAGAUGAUGAUGAACGGGGGCAGGGAAGGCCCAGGUUGAUCAGCCUGCGCACUUUUGAGCCGAUCAGCUCAGGGGGUUUCCUCCUCCCCUGGUGCUCCUCUUCGCGUGGCCUCCUCUGGAUCCAAUCUUCUCUUCAUUUCUCCUACUUGUGGCGGCAAUGGAUGGUGUUUGCAUGGUGAUUUCCUCUUCUCCCCAACUCUCCCUCCUUGAAGUCCAUGAGGGGGUAUUAAUAGUCUCCAAUAGGCGGCAGCUCUGGGUCAAUGUCAGUGAAAAAAUCCUAGAGAUCAUCGUACACUUCAUGCUGAGGAAACAAGAGGUUGACCGAGCCCUGGGAUAGACCAAGAGGAUCAUCCUAGAGGGUCCCAGGCUAAUCGGUCUAGGCCCUUCCUAGCCCUUCUAGUCCUCUCCUUCCUCGUGCUGGCUUUUCUCGAUGACCCUUGUCCAAAUAUCCAUGAAGCUCUAUAUACAUACCCCCUUGAUUAUGUUGUAUUUCCUGUCAAAAUACAAUGCUCCAAAAUACAACACAUAUGCAAUAAUAGGGUUAUUUCAGGUGCCAAUUGGUGGGUUAGUAUACGAAUAAGCAUGAAAAUACUGUUUAAAUGACACUAAAAGUGUGUCAAUAACGAGCACCAACAAUCCCCCCACGCUUAGAUCUUGCUCGUCCUCGAGCAAGUCUAGCGACUAAAAGAUCUUGAAUUAAACCUGAGCAAGCGAGUCAAGUACCUAGCCUUGAAACAAAAGAUUAGAGGAGCAGCAAAGAUAAUCAAAGUCUGGGUGUUCAAAGAUUUAUCUAAGCAAAGAUUCCCCUACAACUAUUAUUCAGAACCAAGUAACUUCAAAAAUCAACUACACUUAUUUUCUGGCUUUUUUCAGAGGGUUUUUCUUUCAUCAUAAAACAAUCUCCCUGCAACAAAAUUGAAAAAAGAAUUAUUUUCAAGGUGCUUACAUGUCGCUUAAAUGAAUGUUGGCUAUCCUACUUAUUUGCAAGCUCUCAUCUCUCAAAAUUCAUUCAAUUAUAUGGUGGAGUUUGGGUAAGGUUAGCUAGAAUCAACACGUAUAUUAUUGAAUUAAGAAAACCCUCUAACGGUGGCCUACCUUCCGAGCCAUUGAUCAUAAGAAUAUCCACAUAAUGUGAAGUUUUCAAGGAUGAGAAGAUAUAGAAUGGUGGACAUGUGCAAAGGCAAAGAAAUAUAGUGACUCUGAGGCACAAGCAAUGUCCUCGUCGUUGGAUUGCAUAUGGUUGUAAUGAAAAUAUGUUCCUUAAACAAGUCUAUCUUUUCUUUGCACCACUCUUGAUCUUCAUGACAGUAAAAACUCCUCCUUUAUUUCUUUCUCUCUUUUCCUAUUAUUUCUUUUUAUUUGUCUCAAUACUUUUAUUUCUUUAUUUCUUUAUUUUAAUCUCUUCUCUGAACCUCUUCUGAACACCACAUAAUAAAAAUAAGUUUUAGAUCCUUCCAGAGACCUUCCAGGAAUUUGCUACAUGAAAACCGAGGCAAGGAGACCCCAGGCCGAUUGGCCUAGCCACUCCUUUGCUCUCCUCUAGCUCUUCUUUCUGGUGAAGCUUCCUUAUCUUGUAUCUUUCCAAAAAUUUCAUAAAGCUCGACUAGAAACGGAACAGAUCUUCAUAUAAUGAGUUGUGUUCAAGGAAUUGGUAAUAAAAUUGAGAAAUUUGUGGUUCGGGUUUACGAAUUCAGUACAAAAAUAUGAUUGUUCCAAUGAAGAACUCUCAUUACUGAAUAUUGACGAGGCAAGCAUUCAAAGAUGGUAAAAAGGAUAUGAUCAAUUCUCAAAAUUAAAGCAAACCAAGAGAGAGCGAUCCUAAUUCAAUUCAAAGUGUCAAAUGUUGCUUAUGGUGGUAUGAAUAAAUAUUUUUAGGCAUUGGGUAGGAUAAAUAAAAACUCUCAACCUGGUUAAAAGAUAUUGAUCAAUCUUGUUUUUGCAGAGGUUUUAAAUAAAAAAUAAAAUUUUAAAUCACCUCCAAUUCAAAGCCUUACUCAUAAAUCAUAAUCAAAACUGAAGCACUUGAUCAUCAUAAAGCAUGGGUAUUGCAUAAACAAAUCGAUUACUAAAACUCCACAACUACGAUUUAGAAUUCAAGACAAUGCUCAUAAUCUAAAGUUGCAAAGAUAAAAUAAAAGACAACCAAGCCAAGGUAGACACUAAAAACACUUGCACGAUCCUUGAAUUUUAUUCAUGCUUCUUCUCACAAAGACGCUAAAGUAGCCAUGUAGGCCUAAGUCUUCCCAAAAGCUUAAGAAAACUACUACUUUAUCUACUUUUGGUUGAAAUAAAAAGACUAAUCUAGACUCUCACAUGAUUCGACUCGACCAAAUUAGAUCCAAAAACUCAUACGAGCGACGAUCUCCCCCCCCUCACGCUUAAAAUCUACGACCUCCUCGUCGUAGCCAUAUGGAGUACAAGGAAAAGAAGCUUGUAAACGCUCUAAUGACGCUACCCGCACUACUUGCACACGGGAUGGUUGCUGCUUCCUUCGCUUUGUUCUUCCUCAUGUUGCUGCACAUCCCGAAGAGCUUCCUCACGUUCCUCUGCAAGAACUUGAACUCGUCCUCCUGACGGCGAUCAUUAUCUUCUGCCUUUUGAUCCAGAGCUUGUAAGGCUUGCAUGAUGUCAUCGAACGCAUCGAAGAGGUAGUGGAUGUUCUUCCUGCAAGCUGUGGAACAUGUACGAUCAUGCUCCUCCGAUUCUGGCCCGUCGUCUUCUAGAUCCUUCUCUUUGCCCUUGUCUUGACGGUGGCUAUCUUGCUCCUUGCUCGCCUUCUUGCCUUCAGCCCAAUCCCAGUACGUGUUGUCAUCUUCUUCAUCGUCACGGCCUGCAGCACCCUAUGAUCCAUUGUCUAUCUUGUAUGAAAGAAUCAGAAGCUUGUUCUCCUCAGGGUGUCUUGCGCGGUGCAGCGUUUGCAAGUGCAAGACUUGCUAGUUCCUUUUACACAUUGUAAUGUUCAUUGCAUGCUCUAAUUGUUCUACAUUUGUAAUUUCUUGGUGAAGUUUGGUUACUGAUCCACUGUUUGAUUAACUCUUGGGCCCAAACACUGUACUACUUCUGAUUAGAUAUCUGUAUCUUGACUUUGACCAAAAAAAAUAUCCGGCAGUUUUUGCCAUUAAAGUUUCAUAAAUCAUCUUGCAAAAAUCGUACUAUACAACAAGGGACGGUUUAUUAUAAAAUAUACGUUCCCCUUAUCACAUGCCACUUCCACUCAAAAGGCAACGAAUCAGUUUUCAAUCCUGAGUGAGCAAUUUGCUUUUAUUACCGAUGCCUCCUAUUCCCUUGUGCACCAAGUUUAUUUUGGAUAGGGCUGCAAAAAACGACUAACCAGCUCGGAUUCUCCACCUGCAAAACCGCAUCUGCAGCAACCAACCCCACGCGGUGGAAAAAAAAACAAAACCUAGAAACCGGACGGGGGUGGAUGUGGGGCUCGGAGCCCAAGCAAAAAACGGAUCGGGAGCGCCGGAGCAGGCCAUCACCGGAUGUUAGAGAUAGAAAAUGGUUGAAGUUUGGAGUGGAAAUCAAACAAGCCUUGGAGCAAAGGAAAAAAAAAGAUCAAACCACUCAAGCAUUCAUUUGAUUUAGAAAAGAGAACAUUUGUUAAGGUGGGGAGUUGAAAUCAUCUUUUAAUUAGUUCCACGUAUCUGGUAUCAUUACAGUUGGUUUACUUGUGUAAGUAUAAGUAGCUCUGCCGAAGCCUUUGCUCCUAUAAUUUAGUAACUAGUACAAAUGGAUCAAUAGGAAAAUCAAGUUGCAAUCAUUUCUCAGCCAACCAAACCUAUGUAAAUCAAAUUAUUGUCCAUGCCCGGCAUGCACAGGUGCCUGCCAUGCAUGCAUUGUUGCUCCAUUGUAAUAACCAUUAUUGUCCAUCGAUGUUGCAGCGCAUGUGUGCACUGUGCAGACACCAAGCAUCGAGAUUAUGUACUAGUAAGGUGUUGAAAUAAUGGGCCUAGCCCAUAAGUAAUUUCAGAAUUUCAAAUAAAUCUCAAAGGCCCAUGUGGGCAAGAGGUGGAGUGGUGCAAGUCUUUAGUCCCACAUUGCUAGUCGAGGGGAGGGAUGACCAACUUAAAUAUGGAAGUUGUCUCCACUCCUCCAAGCUAUGUGUGAAGGGCGCGGGCGCGAGGCACUUGCGUGAAUGGUCCGCCGAAAUCUGGCCCCCCUUGCGGGGGCGCGGCUUCCUUUUGCCGUUUUAUUUUUUGGUUACUUGGUCGUUAAGUCAUGGAAUCCUAACCGGUUUAGAUCACGAUCGUGAAGGUUUUUGGGAAGCGCUCUGCGCGACUGCUCGAUCGCUUCUUCCGCUUCGUCAAGUUCUUCGUCGACUCCUUCACCACGGCUCGUCUACCUCUUCGUCGCUCGGGCCUCACUCGUCGUCGCGAACAACGUCAGGCUGCUGAUCGUCGUCGCCUGCUGUAUCCGGUAGUCGUCCAGGAGCCGGUUUUCAUCAAGAAAGAAACGUACGGUCUCUUAACUCACAUUAUGUCUUCCAUACUAGCUAUUAUGAUUGUUGCAGUCUGAUAGCUCUGGAUAGUAUGGUAGAAUGUCUGAUUCUAUUUGCAAUGAUAGACUUGUCUAGAUCUUGCGUAGACAUGUCUAGUUUAAUCUGCUGCUUGUUCAUCAUAUUCAUGAUUUAUUUCUGGAUUAAGUUAAAACUAAAAGUGCUUAUAUAUCCAACAUAAGGUACCAAGAACACGUGAAGCACCCGGGGGAGGCUGCUCCACUCCGCAUGCACAGGUGGGCACGGCACCACUACUCGUCUCCUUCAGGCUGAGGAUAAGUGAUGUACGCUGAUCAACAGACCACGACGGAACCAGCAAUAAUAGUUUCAGCCUGCCUCACAGUAAUUAAUAUAUCCUGUAUCCUCCGAGGACCCCUCCCCUUAAUCUUGGCCUAUUGCAUCCAAUAAUGAUAUGUGUGUUUAUCCAAAUUUACGGCACCUUUGGCGGGGGUUCCACCCAGCUCCGCCCUCUCCACCUUCGGUACUCCAUGGGAAACCAUUCCUUUGGAAUCAAGGAAGCUUGAACAGUAUAACGAAUAAAGUUUCAUAUAUCCAUUUGAUUUCACAUGAAAUAAAAUAUUCUGUCAGAACCAAUGGUUUCACUGAAGCUCCAGGCAGCGAGCGAAGGGGUGAGAGAGGAUAACGCUUACUGUGUGUUACCAUCGCGUGCACCAUGGAUGACCAACGCGCAGCCGAGAUGAAACGGCGGACCUAAACAGGUCCUCGCUAUUUUUGCAGGUUCUCGACCAGGCCAGUUCUUUAGGCCAACCUAUCAUUCACGAGUUAAACAUACGGUGGCUGGAGAAAUGUUCUAUUCUUUUAAACAAUACCAGCUGGUUCCUCCGUUUUUAUUCCACCAAUACAAGCACCACCUUGUAACAUUUCCUAUGUUUUUUUUCCUUUCGUCUGUUUUCUCACUACAUGCGUUGCUCUUUCAUGCAUUUUUUUCCAUUCCUGUAUUCCAAAUAGGUCUACAUGAACACAAAAUGAACUAGGGGACAGAAAAAGCCAGUGAAGUUAGUUUUGAGCUUCACCAGCUACUUGCUACAUAAAGUGUGCUAUAGUCGCAGAAAAGCUAAGCUGGAUCAGACGUGGCCGAAACAAUGCCAAAGAGCUAGGUCCCUAGCUGAUGGCAACACAUCAGAUGACUAGCCUGCUUUUCUGUAAUAAUGAUAUUGAGCAAUACACUGCAUGGCUAACCUGCUUUACAAUAAUUGUCAUUUUAUAAUAUUGGUCAUCACGAGAGAUGCACAUUGCAUACACCGGCCCAUCCCUAUAAAUAGCCAAGCCUUUCAGCCAUCUUGGGCACCUCCUCUCAGGGCCUCGUCUCACCAUCAGACAUCUCGUUCCCAGUUAUAAUUUGCGAGGUUAGAUCAGGCUGCGCCAUGGCGUCCGCAACUGCUGUCAAGAUCGUCGCCACCUUCAUGCUGGUGCUGACCAUGGGCCACCUGAUGGCCGAAGCAUCACCGCAGCCUCGGCGUGUGCUUGCAGAAACGGAGCAUGCUGCGGUGUCCGGGAAUCCUGGCCUCCCAGGUGAUGCUAGCGUCAUGCAGGUCCUCGAACCCGCCCUAGUUUCUCGGCUUGCCUGCAAACCAGAGUGCACAGUCCCUUGGCCUCCUUUUGUAUGUAUCUGCUAGAUCCUCUUCCUGGCUCAACGGAACUUCAGGGAAAUGGCUGUGACGUCGGCCAAAGAAUAAAUUGGAUGAACAUAAUAUACCCCGGGUAGUGUAGCUUGGGCUUUUGUUGAGCGUCUGGUGCUAGUUGUAUUUUGUUUGCUCAUGUGGCUUUGCUUCUGGUUGCAUAUUGGCUUUCCUAUCGCUCUCUGUUGCAGCUAUGGUUUCUGCCAGGUGUGUGUUAAUGCGGUUUGUAAGCGGUGCUUGUUCCUACCUUCUGUUUUCAAUAAAAGAAGUCGGAGUCUCCCUCCGACUCUUGUUAUCAGUCAACAAAAAUGAGUUGUAUCAUAUAUAUCUGCGUCUUUUUUCUACGUAUCUUUGGGCUGCUUCAGCUGGAAGUUUAUCGUAAGUACGUGUAUCAGGAUGAUCGUUUGAAUUAAAACGAAAUGAUAAUGUGUGGCUGCUAGAAAUGGAAUGAGCAUCUUACUAUAUUACUAAUUGGAAGCCUCCACGUGAAGCCACCUAGAAAUUCUAGGUGGACGUUUUAAAAAAAACAAAACUCAUAGAAGCCUCCACCACCUAGGAAUCCUAGGUGGACACUCUAAAAAGAGACAAAUCCUAGAAAUUCUAAAAAAAGAAAAAAAUAAUAACAAUAAGAUUUUUUUGCAGUCAAUUACAUAUAUUUUUUUGAGACACCGUGCUGCUAGCUCUUGCCAUUGCGACCAGUAAAGCAAGCAGAUAGUAAGAUGACAUGCGUGUGGAUUGAUUAAAACAAAUUCAGUUAGUUGAUUCUAAAUCGUAUGUAUCCUAAAAGGAAGAUAUGUGCGUGCAUGGUCCCUAGCGAUGACAUGUAGACAUGUAUUGCAAUUUCUUUUUUAAAAAACAUGUCUAUCUCUAAACCAACAAACAGAAAAAAUAUCAAUCUAAAUCUAAAUCUCUUCCGUUCUCACACGCCUAUUAAAGAGAAGACAACCAAUCCCAUCCAUGUUCCAUAGAAUCCAUCUAAAAGCUUGCUCACUGCGGACGGCAUUUGACGGCAAAUCAAUGAAAGAUCAUCCUCUCCAAAUAGCUGGACGGCAUCACCAUCUUUAUCUCACCAACCUACAGAGCUACAACGAUGUUGUAGAGAUCAACUAGGUAACCUACCAAUCACCCUCCCCUUUUCUAUAUGCUCUAAAGAACACGUGGAGUAAUUAUAGGCCUAUAGGAGCCGACUAACCUAGAUUAAUAUGAAAAAUAUUCCAAUAUUAAAAGCAAGCAGAUAGUAAUACUUGCCUUUGACCAUUUUUCUAGAACUGUUAUUCCUAUUGAAUGUUCAAGUGCUACGGCCAGGCAUCGAAUGCCUGCACGGAACCUUCCUAUUGAAUGGUUACUCUAGAGAUCAACGCACCGCGAGACAUUUUUAUGGAAUUUGUUUGAUUCCCCUUCUACAAUUAGAUUAAUUUUUCAUGGCAUAUAUUACUACUAUUAAAUUAUUUGUUUAUUGUCGGGCCUGCUGCAUGUGUGGUAUAUAUGACUUGCUUCUCACCAUUGUUCUCAAACUAUUAUUCCUAUCGAAUCUUUCUAUCGAAAUAUAUUUUAAUUACUUGAUUGUUGUUUGUGUACCAUAACUUCUGUAUAGAAAAAUUCCAUGUUUGUAGAUAAUGUCUUUUGUAUAGAAAAAUAGCCCAAUUAGAUCCAUCACCAUCUUUUGCUUAUGUAGUUGAACAAGUUGCAAUGUUGAACAAAACUUUAAGUGAAAUUAGACCAGGAAAAGGAAUUGUGGAACAUUAAGGCAAGGGUAACCAGAUUGUGGAAUGCAACCUUACUCAGUAGUGGCGAACAAUUAAGUCUUGACAUGAUCCUUAUUGAUCAAAAGGUAUGAUAGAUGUUCACUUUGAUUGCAUUAUUGGUAUAAUUUUUGGUUUACAAAUUAUUAAUGAUGAUGCAAAAUUAGGGAACCAUGAUCCACGGUGUUAUCAAUAAGCCCUAUAUGAAAAAGUUCAAACCAUUGAUUGAAGAAGGCAAUGUGUACAUAAUUGCAAAUGUCAGAAUCACACCAGAACCACAGAAGUAUCGGCCAGUGGAAAAUGACAGGAUAGUCAACUUCUUACCCACAACUGCACUAAAAACGAUCAAAGAUACUGAAGACAUUCCAAAGUAUAGUUUUAACUUCAUGAGCACGGAUAUGCUUUCAGCAAGAAUAAAUGUGGACAUGUACCUAUUAGGUAAAACAUUACUGGCUUUUCAAUUUUUACACUUCCACUCAUUAAAUGACCAUCUAAUAAUAAUACAUAUUUAUGUUUCAUAGAUGUUAUAGGUAUCUCAGCUCACAUUGGACCGAUAGAAGAAACAAGGACAAACUUCGGAUUUACUAAAAUCCGUGAUAUUGUGCUCCUGAUCGAGUAAUUCUCUUUUCUUUUGUAGAAAACAACUACAAAACUUUCAACAUUUACAUGUAUGUUAUAGAACUUCUGUUGAACUAAAAAAUAUCUUCUACAGUGCCCCUACAAAUAAUUAAUUUCGUAGUUGGAUAUUUAAAAUAUUUAUUAUUCACUUUUAAAUUUGUGGCCAUGAAGUUAAAGUUAGAUUUUGGGGAGACAAAGUUGAGGAAGUUGAUGAUAAGACAAAAUCCCAUGUCAUUGCAAUAACAUCUACAACUGUGAGUAAAUUUGGCAGUAAGUCUUCAUUCAAUAUGAGUUAUUCAAUAUUAGUCAUUCAACAAACUAACCUCGUAAGAAAAAUAAAUAAUUGAUGUUUUAUCAGGGUAUUCUCUAUCGUCAACCAAUGCAACAAAACUUUAUGUAGAUCUACCUAUUCCUGAAACUAAGGAUGCACAUGAUAGGUGAGAAAAAUUAGAUAUUGUUUUUCUAUUUUAAUCUAUGUAGCAUGCACUCUAACAUGAUACAUUCUUUCAUAUGAUAAAAAAAUGUUAGUUCAAUUGAAAAUAUUGUCAAAGAGAUUCAUAUUGAGGACCAUCUAAAAGGGACAUUGGAAGACCAAAUGCAGUACAAUAGAAGAACUUUAGAAGAAUUAAAUUUCAUAUUAUUUGAAACAUCAAAUCAGGUAUGGAUUAGUAUGUUCAUUGUACACUAUACUAUUUAAAGACUUACAUACAUAAUGAUGGUAUUGUUCCUACUUUCAGGAUGAGGUAUUUACUAUUGAAGCAACAAUAAAUGAAAUUAAUGCAACAUAUGGUUGGUUGUCACACCCGAUUUUAAGGACAAAAUUGAGUGCAUUAAAUACAUGUGCACCAGGAUCAAGUUACACACAUCCUAUGAGUACCGUCCUUCUUUGGCACAAAGAUAACCGGUGCUCCCCAUGGUGAUGAACUAGGCCGAAUAAACUAUUUUGCUGAUAAUUCCUCUAGUUGUUGUUUCAAUUCUUUUAAUUGUUCAACCAACAUUCUAUAAGGACGUUUGGAGAUAGGUGCAGUACCAGGUAAAAGAUCAAUAGCAAAUUCAAUGUCGCGGUCAGGUGGCAUACCUGGUAAAUCGUCGGGGAACACAUCCGGAUAGUCACACACCACUUUGAUAUCUUCCAAGGAUUUUCCAGCCAACUGAUUAACUGCACAAUCUGCUGCUGAGGGUAGAGUAGCUACAAACUCCACUUUCUCUCCAUCAGGACCUGUUAGCAGAACUGUCCUCUUGGCACACUGAAUCGUUGCAUCAAAAGCGGCUAACCACCUCAUCCCCAGAAUUACAUCGAUUCCACUGGACUCAAGGACGAUAAGAUCAGCCGGAAACUCUAUACCCAUUAUUCUCAGUUUAACUUGUGGACAGAUGUAUUGAGCCUUCAUUGACCCCCCAGGUGAACUCACUAGCAUAUGACGCCUCAUGGUAUGCAUGGGUAAAUUAUGCUUUGCUACAUAAUGACUAGUGACAAAAGAAUGCGAUGCUCCAGAGUCAAAUAAAACUGAUGCGGGGGCAGAGUUGACAAAGAACAUACCAAGCACUACAUCUGGAGCCUCCUUAGCAGUCUCGGCUUCCAUGUGGUUCACCUUGCCACAAACAAAGCUUUGCUGCCCCUGAUUGCCUUGUGGGGUCUGGUUCCCAUUCCUCGGUUGCUGCAUCUGAUUCUGCCGAGGAGCACUGCUGUUCUGCACGGGGGUAGCUGGCCCACCUCUCUUAGGACAAGAGCUGGCAUAGUGACCAACCUCGCCACACUUGAAGCAGGUAGGACCCACUGGAGCAUUGGGCCUUGUUGGAGUGCCAGUAGGGGUCAUCUGGCGGUUCUGCGUAAAGCUUGGGCGCGGAGUCUGCAUAGUCUGCAUCCCUGGAUGCUGGAACUGAGGGCUAGGGCGCUGGAAUGACUGCUGAGCAGGGCGCGGAAAUGAGUGCUGCCAAAAAUUCCCACUCGGGCCCCCUGCGCGGAACGGCGUCCCUUGCUGUGGAGCAAAGCGAGGGCGGGUGUUGCUUCCUGAAGACUACUGGGAAUUGAAUUUCCUCUUCAUCUCCCCGAGCUCGUUCCUCUUGUGUUCCAGGCCAAUUGCCUUGUCUAGCAUCUUCUGGAAACUGGGGAAGGUGUGCGACAUAAGCUGAUAUUGGAGUGGUCCAAUCAACCCAUCCAAGAAUAGCUCCUGCUUCUGCUCAUCAUCAGCAACAUCUUCGGGAGCAUAUCGGGACAACUGGACAAACUUGUCCCUGUACUCUGCCACUGUCAUGUUCCCCUGCUUGAGAGCAAGGAACUCCUUCUUCUUAAGCUUCAUCAAUCCGGAAGGAAUAUGAUGACUUCUGAAGCUAGUCCUGAAUUCAUCCCAGGUGAUGCCAUUAGCAUUGGCAUGGGUGGUGGUGUAAGCAUCCCACCAAUCAGCAGCUGGCCCUUCCAGGCGUCCUGAAGCAUACAGGACCUUCUCCCUGUCAGUACAUUGGGCGAUAUCCAGCAUCUUCUCCACUGUUUUCAGCCAAUCAUCAGCAUCUAAUGGAUCCGGAGAAUGUGAAAACGUCGGGGGCUUGUGGCUCAUGAACUCCCUAUGCCUGUCCCUUGGCGGCGGCUGCUGCUGGUUGUUGUUGUUGUUAUUGUUCAGCUGAGCUUGUAAAGCUGCCACGGUGUUGGUCAGUCCGGCGAGAAGCUGAGUCUGAGCUGCUAGAAACUGCUCCAUCCCUGCAGGUGCUUGUUGGUUCUGUUGCGGAGCGGUGUUGGGAUUGCUGCUGUUGUCCCUGUGGCGUGGCACUGUGGGACGGUCAACUCCUGAUCCGGACCUGGUGUUUACCAUCUGAGCGUUAGAGACAAUGGAUUUAGAUAGAUGUGUGAAAGAAUAACUGAGAAAGAUAAAGCGACCAGAUGUAAAAGUAACACAGAUUCUGUUAGCUCCAUUUAAUUAGGUGUGGUCGUCAGAAGAAGUGUCCAUAAAUUCUGAACAAUUACCAAGUCGUAACUUAUUAAAUUUGUAAACCAACCCAACUGGAAUCAUCUCAAUCGGACUUCUGGAUCUCGAGUUACAAAAUUAACAAGCUGACAGUGUCGGUCGAUAGGUUCAGAUUCUGAGUGCUUUACUAAUUCGCAUACACCUCCCAGACAGAUACACCAAAAAUUCUGAAAAAUUUACAGAUAGUACUCCACGAAAUUCUGAAACUAACCCCACUGGUUUCAUGUCAUUUGGACUUCUGUAGCUAGAGAUAUAAAUAAAAAAGUACUGGCGUGUCAGUUAAUGUCGAGAACAGAAUUGAAUGUCGCUUAGCUUGCGUGAUGGAUAGAUUUAGACAGAUGGUAGAUCAUGAUUAAGGAAGAUUAAAUACUGAUUUAGAACAGAAAUAAAACCCAACUAAGCACUUUAUUUAUUAAGACCAGUAUCGUGUGGCAAUUGCCCCACAUACCGCACUCAUUACAAAAUCCAACUCAAACAUGUAGCACAAAACCAAUCAUCUAAGCACACUUUAACUAACACACUCGAACGACGUCUAACGAUUACAAGAAUUUAAACUAAAACACUCCUAAUUUCCUAGAGGUCUUCUGCGGCGGUGCCGGGCGAGUCGUAGCGGGGACGCUUAGGCGACGGCGACGAAGCGGGAUGAACAGCAAACUCCUGCGGCGGCGGUGCUCCCGUCGCGGCAGCCAUAUUCGCAUCCCUCUCCCACCGGAGUUCCUGAACCUCCUGUUGAAGCUCCUGGAUGUGGUUGUUUGCUUCAUUCAAUGCGGUGAGAGCUGCCGACGUGUACUUGCGGAGGAAGUCUGUAGCCAUGUCAACCCCAUCGUUAGUAGCGAUGAAGGUUCUUGCUUCCCCACUAGCUCGGUAAGGAAGGAACCGAUGGUAAGUGUGCUGCAAUCGCGGCCGUUCCUUGUGGGAGACGACCUCAAGUGCCCUCCUGGCGGCCUCGGCAAUGCCGGAUUCCAUGGUCCUCCUUAUGGUCACAUCAUGGUGAAAAGCCUUCACCUCCCAUCCUCCCUCGUGCUCCUCACGAAGGACAACCUUCACCUCCCAAAAAGUGGGAUAGCGAGGGUGGGUGAACCGGGAGCACUUGUAGAGUGGCCUCAUGCCGUACCCCAAGCGGUGACAAGUCCACCUGAGUAUGUCGGCCAUGUGCACUCCUUGGCCAUAAUCUUCCUUCACCCAUUUGAUCCAUGUCUCGGGCUCGGGAUCUGCUUCGGGCUCAUCAUCCGUCAAGUCGACGACCGGUACGGGCGUCGGGGCUGGUGCAGGAGCGGGCGCCGGUGCUGGCGACGGUGCUGGUGACGGCGUGGUCUCCUGCUCCACGGUCACGGCGUCCCCGUCAGAGUCAUCCCCCGGAUGCUGGAAGAUCUCUUCCUCUUCUUCCUCGUCCCAAGGCUCCAUGGGGGCGUACGACGGCGCGAUGCCAUGACGCGGCGGACGGGUGCUCUUGCGUGCGGUCAACCGGGUGCGAGCCAUCUAACAGAAAGAAAGAAGAAAAUUUUAGAAUAAAAUUUUGAACAAAGCUAGAUAAUAAAAUAGCAAUAAGGAUGAGACAAAUCAAGUUUAAGAAUAAUUAAGUAGAUUUAAAUUAAGAAAGGUAGGAAUGGCUACUAGAUUAUUAUAAUCCUUAAAUACGACCAUUUUCUAACUAGGCUAACGUCCUACAGUCAACACGGCUCUGGUACCACUUUUGUCACACCCGAUUUUAAGGACAAAAUCGAGUGCAUUAAAUACAUGUGCGCCAGGAUCAAGUUACACACAUGUACGACAAUAGUGAAUAGUAAAGCCAGUGCUAAAUCGAAUAAAGAGAGUAUUAACCAUUAUUACAUGACCGAAUGUCUCAAAUAAACCACAAAGUCUAAUUAUUACGCAGCGGAACUCCAAAGAUGACGACGACUCCAUAGGCAGCUGACUGAAGAAACGUACGCCUAGAACUCCUCGAAGUCGUGGAAGUACUCCUCUUCCCAAUUAACUUGGUCUGAACAGCGGUUUUGCAAGGGUGAGUACACUUAUGGUUGGUACUCAACAAGUCGUGGGAAGUAGUGUAGUGUAAGGCUAAUUCAAGGUAUGGCUAAGGCGUAAAUAGCAUUCGCUUUUAAUUAAGUUGGUCAAAUUUUAUUAGCAUUUACUAAGUAUAAGUUCAUACCACCCGAAAUUAAACAUGAACAUAAAGUAAACCACAUGUGCAUGAAAUGAUAACAAAUUAAAUCCAUCUUCCGAUAAUAUUAUCAUGUGAGGGUCCAGGCCGCUCUUAACCGUGAGCACGGCUGAUUGAUCAGUUUAACACUCUGCAGAGGUGGCACAUCUUUACCCACAAGUCGCGUAAAAGUUCAAAAGAACUUUGGACCCAACCAUGCGGUGUUUGCAAGGCACCAUACCACACUUCCGAGGUGUGAUUGCAUAGGGACGCUACGAGGCCUUUACAAAGAUUCAUUAAUCAGUGGUAACCCGCUAAGGUUUCGGUGUCUGGCGUGCACCACCCAUCCCAGGUAAAAUGCAACGACUCAGUCCCCCCCCUUGAAUCAUCACGAGUAAGGUCACCCCAGACUAAGGUUUCUAAUUAAUCAGCCAAGACCAGAGCUAUUUAGUCUUGUGGUAGCACUGUUUUCCUGGGUGGUCGCUCCAUGUUCUGAUUAACAAAUAAUGAUCUUGUCUUAAUGAAAGGUAUAACAGAAAUAAGGCAAGAUUAAGCAUUGUUUUUAGUUAAACCACCAUGUACCAAGUAAGCACUAAGCAUGAGCUACCCAACAUAAAGUAAACCGGUUGGUCAAGGCAAAGGUAAAACAAUCUAGGCCAACCUUAAUUGGGACCCAUCAAUUUAAUCUUAAUAUGUGCACAGCAUAAAUGUUGAGUACGAGAAAGUAAAGGUGUAUAGGACAAAAAGGUAGUGAUCAAGGACACGACUUGCCUUCUUGGCCUUGCUCCUGCUGUUCGUACUCCUCGAAGGCUUGAUCGGCAACUCCCUCGAACUGCGGGGCGUCUACACGCAUCACACGAGCACAUACAAGCAAACAUGGGCAAAAGUAAGAAAACAGUAUACCAAACAUAGUCAAACAGAGAAAACAAGCUUGAAAAGAUGAUCUACGCUUUAAAACGAACACGCGGAUAUAAAGAACGCGAAAAACGGAGUUAAGAUGCAAAAGAUAUGAUUAAAACAAAAUCCAGGGACUUUUCUGUAAGAAAAACAAAACUUUUAGGGCCUAUCCGCGAAAACCGAGGGCUUAUACGUAAUUAUGCGUAUAAACCGAGGGUCUGAUGCGUAAAAACAUCAAACCCGGACGGCGGGUUGAUUUCUGGAAAGGUCAAGGGUUAAACCGAAAAAUGCGAGGGCAGAUCUGUAAAUACUUUCAACGCGAUCUGGACCGCGGGUUGAUUUGCGAAAAAGGCGGGGGCUAAAGUGCAAAAACUGCACGGCGCGGCUCGGUUGACCGGUACGCGAUCUUGAUUGACUCGCGUCCGGCCGUCGGAUUAAGAUCCGACGGUCGCGGUGAUCCGCGACAUCGCGGCGGCGGCGGCGAGCGGCGGCGAGCGGCGGCAAGCGGCGGCGGGUCGCCGGAGUUAGGCAAAAUAGCGCCACGAGGCACGGUUUAACGCGCGGGUUGCACCAAAAAAGAGAGGGGAACACGUCGAUCCCGUUUUGGGGGUUCUUGUCGACGGGGGCUCACCGGCGACGGCGAACGGCGGCGAGGAAGAGGCGGCGGCGCUAGGAGCUCGGGCGGCUAGGGUUUCGGGGAGCUGCGGCGCUGGUUUUGGGCGGAGGAGACUGGGAGGAGGCGGCGGCUUUUAUAGGGCUUGGAGAUAGAGCCGGCGCGGGUUCAAAUCCCCCGGAGGAGUCGGAGCGGAUGGAGUCCGGGGCGGAGACGGCGCGCGGCGGUUGCGGAGUUCUGACCGGAUUCGGCCGGAGGUGGGAGACGAUGGGUGGGGUCCACCCGUCAGUGGCGGAGGGGAGCGGUAGACGGGCCGGCGCGACCGUGGGCUGGCGCGCGCUCGUGGGCUGCGGGGAGCGGGAGAGAAGCGGCGAGCGGGCGCUGGCGGAGCAGGCCGAGCGGAGGUAGAGCUGGGCCGCGGAGAAAAAGGAGGAGGCCGGCGGGCUGCUUCGCAGGCCGGUAAGGAUGAGGCGGCCGGGCCGAAGAAGAAAAAGAAAAGGAGGGACAAGGAGCUUUCGGCCGAGGGAAAAGAAGAAGAAAAAGAAAAGGAAGAAGAAAAGGGAAAAGGUUUUGGAAUUUGAAUUUAAAUCUGAAAUUCAAAAUUUGAUUCAAACUCAAGCAACCAAAAAUUAUGCUCCAGCAUGAAUGCACAAAUAAUUCCUAUGAUGAAUUAAUUGAAUUAAAGAAAAUGAAUUUAAAUGCCUAGAAAUUAAAUAACACCCUAAUUUGAGCAAAUUUUAAUGAAUUUGAAUUAUUGAAAUUUUGGGUGUUACAUUGGUACUACAUCUCAUGUAGUAGAGGCGAUUGUAAGAAGCAACUUGAAAAGAAGUUUGAUCACUACUAUUGCAAUAAAUGUGACAAGAGAGCCGAACCUAAAGCCCAGUAAAUUAUUUAGUAGUUUACAAUCUUAUUAUAAUACUUCUAUUUCUAAUAGGAGAAUAAUAUUUUCAGAUUCAAAUUAAGCUUCAAAUAAGUGAUCCAACAACAAGUGCAACUUGUGUACUUUUGACAAGGAAGCAGAAAUGAUAAUUAAUGAAUGAGCAGAUUCGAUGAUCACCUCAGUUGAUCAUGAUAAUAAGUAGCUACCAAAAUCAAUUCAGGAAAUAUGUGAAGAAACAUUGAUUUCUCAAUUCAGAUUGACCGAGUACAACUUGACAAGUUUUAGACCUGAUUAUACUGUUUCAAAGAUAUUUUUUCCAAAAGAAAAGGGCAGUUCAAGAAUUGGUAUGGAAAGUGUAAAAAAGGUAACACUUUAUUAUUAAUUUUUUAUUGCACUUUUUUCUUUUGAAUCCGUAAUACUUAAUAAUUUUACUAUAUCAAUGAAACAAAUUCUAACCUAAAUUUAUUUUCUUUUUUAUUAUUUGUAGGAAGUAGAAGACAACUCAGACAAAUGCUACACGAUAACUACCGAGAAUGAAGAGGUAGACACUGAUGACUCUUUUACCGAGAAAGUAACAUUCGUAGAAGAAGCCAUAAGGACUGGGGAAAGAUUGGCUAGAAAAGUAUACUCACUUCCAUGUCAGUGUUCAUUCUAUUUACAAUACAUGCAAAAAAAAUAUUAUUCAUGCAAAAUUGCAGGUCUACUAAGCAUUAAAGGAAUAGCGGAUAGUGCAAUAUGUAAUCUGAGCAGCAUGCAUUACAAAGUGCUCUACUGCAAUUAAAUUAAAAAACAUGAUAUAUGUUGAAUUCUUAGACUUUAUUAUUAUACUUUUCUACGUGACAAUUCACAAUUUUUUAGAAAAAAGAAGAUCCCAGAAGAAGUGACCAUGAAAAAAGGUCUAUGACCAGCAAUAAGAAAAAAUGCAAGCAUAGAAACAAAUCCGUAGAAAACAUAGAAAAUAAGGUACUCCAUAAACAAAAGUAUUCUCUUAUAUUUUUAUUAAAUAUUUUUUUAACACUUGACAAGUUCUUUUUUAGGAUCAAUAUAUCAGCAAUUCAGAUGUCAUUGGAGAUGAAACCUUAGUUCAUCCAAAAGGUCAAAAAAAAACAUCUGAAGAAAGGUGUUUGGCUGAAAAGGAAAAGCAAAAAAGUGGUAAUGCAGACAAACACAUGCAGAAAAAUAUAAAAACAUGUCAUAGGGAGGCAGACCAAUCUUGCAAGGAGGUAUAGACGAAACGUGAUACACGACCUGCCUACCUUGUCGUGGAUACCCCAAGAAGAUGUCAUAGAGGUGCAGACCAAGCUAGCAAGGAGGUCGAAACGUGAUACACGGCCUGCCUACCUUGCCGUGGAUAUUAGCCCUGAGAUCAUUCUACUGUUCAAGGAAUAACACUCAAUGCUGCUGCUGCUGCUGACCUGGCUCCAUAAAGUUAUACUCCUCUAGGUGCUUGCACUAACUUUAUCUGAAGUAUUAUUCUCUCUGCACUGUAUAUAUGGUUAUGGAGUUUGCUGGAGUAUCCGGGGCGAAGAACCUACAUAAUACGUCUUGGAACUAAUUGACAUUGAUUCACAGACAAACUCUACAAGGUGCUGUUCUUGCCAUUUUAGAGCAUCCAAAGGACUAUAAAUAACAUAGUUUACCAUAUACCAUAUACCAUAUACCAUAAUAUGUUAGCUAAAAUAAGAGCAUACACAUGUUGCAGGAGUCCAAAAGCACCGGUUGAGGACCAGGUACAUUGAAUUACUAGAAAAAGACAGGGGACAAGGUUUAGGUAACCACAUGAAACAUUUGAAUUUAUUGUACUAUGAACACUUAGUUACCAUGCCAGGAGCACAUAGUUAACACUAACAUUUAGCCACUUUAGAUCAUCCCGAAUCACCAAUGACCCUCAAUAGUGACAAAUUUUGGUUUAAAUGCCAUCACCAAUGAUCCUCAAUAGUGACGUAUUUAGGUUUAAAUCCCGUCACUAAUAACCCUCAAUAGUGACCUGUUUUGGUUUAAAUCUCAUUACCACUGAUCCUCAAUAGUGAUGUGUUUUAGCAAAACAUGUUAUCAAUGACUUGUCAUUGGUGACGUGUUAAAACGCGUUAUCUCAAUGGCAAAUCAUUGGUGACGUGUUAUCUCAAUGUUAUCAAUGUUCUAUUCUUUUCAACAAUACCAGCUCGUUCCUCCGUUUUUAUUCCACCAAUACAAGCACCACCUUGUAACAUUUCCUAUGUUUUUUUUCCUUUUGUCUGUUUUCUCACUACAUGCGUUGCUCUUUCAUGCAUUUUUUUCCAUUCCUGUAUUCCAAAUAGGUCUACAUGAACACAAAAUGAACUAGGGGACAGAAAAAGCCAGUGAAGCCAAUUUUGAGCUUCACCAGCUACUUGCUACAUAAAGUGUGCUAUAGUGACGUGUUUUAGCAAAACAUGUUAUCAAUGACUUGUCAUUGGUGACGUGUUAAAACGCGUUAUCUCACUGGCAAAUCAUUGGUGACGUGUUUUAAAAAAACAUGUCACCGUGAGAGUCAUUGGUGAAGGGUAAUUAAAAUGCGUCACUAAUGUUGUAGCAUUAGUUAUGAUAAUUUAGUAACGCAAAAAUCUACCAUCAGUAUUGAGCUUUAGAGCCAUCGCUAAUGUGGGUUUCUUACAUAGUGAUGCAAGCUCUACAAGGUGCUGUUGCUGCCAUUUUAAAGCAUCCCAUGACUACAUGUUAAUAACAUAGUUUACCAUAUAUCAUAAAAAUAUUAGUUACAAUAAGCACAUACGCAUGUGGAAGAGUCCGAAUGCACCGGUUGAGGACUAAACACAUUGAAUUACUAGAACCAAAUGUAUGUUUAGAACAAAGACAGGGGUCAAGGUUUGGGUAACCGCAUUAAAAACAUUGGAUUUUACUGUACAUGAACACUUAGUUACCAUUACCAUGCCUUGAGCACCUAGUUACAACAAACAUUAAUUUAGCCACUUUAGAGCUUCCAGAAUCGCUAUAAAUAAUAUACCUACGCCGUACCAUGAAAACAUCAAGAAGAGAGACGGAUACAUGGACCACCAUCAAGCGAGUAGUGACAGCACGCACAAGAAUACCCGGAACCUGUUAGCUUGUCUGUAGUGAUCUGUUUUCUUCCCCAUAAAAUCCAUGAGUAUUGCCACAAAUAAUGAAAGAGGCUGACCAAGCUAGCAAGGAGGUAGAGCAAACGUGAUACACGGCCUGCCAAGAUUGCCCUGGAUACGCCAAUAAGAGCGACAGAUACAUGGAUCACACCAAUAUGGUGAAACGUAUAUUCAUCACACAAGCAAAGCUGGUCAGUUUAUCCAUGGUCAAAUUGUGGUCUUUGUUUUCACUUGAGAGCUAAUUGAGGCACUAUAAUAUGGGCAGGCCUAUCUUCAACAGACAUGACAGCUACAGGGAACUUGACAUAAUUUGCUGGGCCGCCUGUGCACAAUUAUUUGUUUUAUUGUCCUUGCAUAGAAUGCUAAAAUACUCUUUACAAAAUGUUGGAUCUAAUAUUUGAAAUAUAGAGUAGUAAUCAUAUAUUGAUCAACAACUUGAAAUUAUCUGUACAUUCUCGGUGAAGCUGUUGAACUAAUUUUUGCAAAUUAUUAAUUCAUCUCAUUACGUAAAGAAAAAAGUAAGUGGAUAAGAUAUUUCGUGGACCACAUCACUGCAAACAUGUCAUGGAGAGACAGACCAAGGAGGCAGGACGUGAUACACGACUUACCCUAGGUUGCCGUGGAACCGCCAAGAAGAGAUACAGAUACAUGGACCACACCAUCUUGGGAGUAGUGACAGCAUAUAUGCAGAAGAAUACCCCGUGCCUAUUUGCAUGCAUGUCUCAAGUGAUCUGUUUUCUUCAGAAAAUACAUGAGCAUUGCCAGAAAGAAUGGCAAGAGACAAACAUGUCAUAGAGACUUGCAUGUCUUGCCUUGGAUACGCCAAGAAGAGGGACACAUACAUGGAUAACACAAAUCUAGUGACACGUAUAUUCAUCACAAAGGCAAAUCUGAUAAUUUUAUCCAUGGAGCAGACCAAGGAGAAAUUGAUGACGGACAUGUGAUCUCUGUAUUCAGUUGAAAGCUAAUUGAGCUACACUAAUAUGAGCAGGACUAUAUUCAAGAGACUUGUUGAGAGCUACAGGGAACUUGUAAUAAUUUGCUGGGCGGCCUGCGCACAAUGAUUUGUUAUACAUAGUUGAAAUAUUUCAAGAAUUUAUCAACCUCAUACUCUGAAACCCUUGGUGCAAUGUACUCUGCUUUCCGAGGUAGACUGUUCACGUAAAAUGAGGUCAUGCGUAAGACGGAAUCGGAUUGGAUUCACAGGGAAUCAGAUUUGGAUAGCACCUUUUAGCAGGUUUUUAGUCAAAUGCAAAUUCGGAUCCACAUGUGGUUGAAUGCGAGUUCAAAAUUCUACUUGGAUAUCCAUUUAAUUUAGGUGAUAGCAAUUAGCACAAAAUGUUGGAUGAACAAAAUCAUAGUUAGACAUACAAUUACAUGUAUGGUUAAAGUAUAAUACAAUACACCAAGAUUAUUCCUUGAAAAUAUUUCUUAAAAAUAUUAUAAUAAAUGAAUAAAUAUAAUUGUGGCCACCAACAAAUAGUCGGUGGUCGCUAAGUUGGAGCCAUUUCUGGUUACUAAUGCGGCCUUCUCCUCGACCAGCGACGACAGCUGAGCUUGUUCCUUCUGACACUAAAUCAUCAGAGUCUUCCCUCCACUACUAUAGAAUGCACCUUUAGCACCAAUUGGGAAAUCCCCUUCAGUAUUGGAUGCUGCAACCAGUGCUAUAUAUCAAAAUGGAGACUAAAAGCCUCGGUCUUGGGUACCGGUUGCAUAACGCAUUACUAAAGGAGGCAAAAGAGAAAUGUAACAAAAAAAAUAUUUUGAAUUCCAAGAAUGUUUCACUAUUCAAGAUGACUAGCUGAGAGUCAACAGACAAGAUACUAGGAAUGUGGGUGCUUGAAUGCAUUUGUACAGAGGUCAUACUAUUUACAAACUCUUCUAUGUUUCCAUAUGACUACCUACUUCAAUGUCACGCGAGCCAUUCAGCUGGACACAUGGCACACUAGCUUGCAUGUCGAAUCCAUGAUUAAUUAUUUGCACUUGUGAUCUCUUACCAGUAUUUGUCCAGACUAGAAACGUGCAACACAUUUUUAGGAUAUGGACACGCAUAUAUUUGGACUAGUAUACAGGUCACCUUUGGAUGCGUACAAGGAUGACCGGGAGGGACUAAUGGAUACAAGGAAGGGACCAUCAGGAUUAAUAUUGACAUAUGCCACAUGACAAUCUUCAUUGUCAUGCAAUCCCUAUCAACAAUCAUGGAAUCCCUAGUGUACUAAUCCCUGGAGGGUUGUGUGGAAAUUUAUUUUACCUUGCGGUGAAAAUCUCAUGAGCAGUCAUUAGUUAAGCUGACUAGCUGAGAUAUAAUAGACAAGCUAGUAAGAUUGGGAGCAUCAAUGCAUCCAUACAGGGUCACAAUAUCCUUUCCAUUCACUUUUAUAUAUAACCCUACGAAUACAAGUCCAACGAAAUGCGGGCCUUUCGAUCAAGAUAAAUUAAAUGGCCCACUUGUAUUUCUAAUCCAGGAUUAACUAUGCCCUCUGUUCAUCUCUUGCAAGCACGUGCAACACAUUUUCACGAUAUGGACAUGCAUGGAGGUUAUUAUACUGUUUGGACAAACUCUGAUGUGCCAUGACCUAAAUGCUUAGGGCCUGUUUGGUUUGAGUUGCUUAUUAUAAGCAACUUAAAGUUGCUUAAAGUUGCUUAUUUGAAGUUGCUUAUUUUUAGUCUAAACUGUUUGGAUACCCUUGCUUAUGAGCAUUGAAUGAGUUGGACAUUGUCAAAUUUGCCCCAUGUGUUGCUACCCCUCCAAUUUGCCUCCCCACCCUUCUUCUUCCUGCACACGUCCGAUCCCGGGGGCCGACGGCGGGCAGGGAGCAGCAGCAGCUGGCCAGGGCGGCGGUGGGGCGGGAGCGGCGGCGCACACCAGCACGCGCUCGCACGCCAGGUGCUAGGGCGCGGCGAGGCAGUCGUCGUAGCCCACCGGGAGCGGGUGCUCGGGCGCGAGGCGGUACUCGACGGAGAUGCCGAGCGUCGGGCGCGCGGCGGCGAGCGCGUUGAGGAAGCGAUGGUAGUGCGGCGACGUCGCGGACUCCGCCACGAAGCCGCCGCCGUGGACGUACACCACCACGGGCAGCUUCGUCUUGCCGUCGGCGGCCGCGGCCGCGGCCUGGGGUGGCAGGUAGAGGCGGACGGAGCAGGAGCCGAGGUCGACGUCCCUGGAGUCGACGCCCGUGGCGGCGUCCAGGCUGGGCCCGACCGGCGGCGGCACGAGCGGGCGCUCGAUGCGGCCGCUCUUGUAAAUCCGACGGGUCUGUGCGGAGGCGGGCGGCGGGCGGGAGCGGCGGGUGGGAGCGGCGGCAGGUGGUGCGGAGGCCGGCGGCGGCGGGUGGCGCGGAGGAAGGGGAGCUGGUGAGUGGUGACAGGGGAGGGGGGGAGAGAGAGGGGGGGUAGGGUGCAUUGAAUGAGGGCAGGAGGUGUAAAGUGCACCUUUUAGUCCCCAUGAGCAACCAUAAGCAGCCCAAGAGUUGCUUAUUUGCUUAUAAUAAGCAACCUCAUAAGCAAGAGUGAUUGGUUUCAUAAGCAACUUAUUUGCUUAUUUUAAGUUGCUUAUGCAUAAGCAUGUGAAACCAAGCAGGUCCUUAACCUAUGGUUGUGGCACCACACAGUACAUAGUAUUUAAUAAUGCUAUUCGUUUGGUAUGUGCACAAGGGCACGCAUGAAAUGUCUGGCCCACGGUAAACAAGUACGGACGCUGCAAAUAAUCUACUCUGCUCGUCCAGUCCCUAGCCUAUAAAUAGAUGCCAUGCUAGCUCUUGUUGUGCUCACAAUUAAUCCUGACUACACACGAGCUUCUCUCCCUGGCCAAGACACAAUCAUAGUAUGAUGAAGAACAUGGCACUAGCCGGCAAUGGUAUGAAGAACUUAAUCCUCGCUGUUCUCUUACUGUGUCUAGUUAUAGGGCAGAUACAAGUGGAAGCUAAGAGCUGCUGCCCAUCCAUUACUGCAAGAAAUAUCUACAAUGCCUGCCGUAUCACGGGUACAUCCCGUCCAACGUGUGCAAAACUGUCAGGCUGCAAAAUUAUCAGCGGGGACAAAUGCAAGCCCCCUAACGACCACCUCACCCUUGACCCGGACACUGGUAAAUAAUAAAUUUAUCUCACUUGAUUUCUUCGUGUUUUGAGUCGUUAAUGUAUUUUCCAUCUGAUGAAACGUAUUGGUUUUGCAUUGAAGAGGAAGUUAAUGUGCUUAACUUCUGCAAGUUGGGGUGUGCGUCGUCUGUGUGCAACAACAUCAACGCUGGUAAGCACCUUUUGCUCAGACGGAGAAAACAAUAAUCAUUAAUUAGCGGCAGCUAGAAUCCUAUAAUCUAAUAUAUUUAUAUAUAUAUAUAAUUUUAUCAGCUCUGGGAAAUGAAGAGGCGAACGAUGCCGUUGAGAGUUGCGACCAAGCCUGCUCUAGCUUCUGCAACGUGCACGUUGGCGCUGCCACCGUGGUUGCUUAAGCAAAUGCAUCCAACUGGAUCGUCCUUGUGCUAAAUAAUUGGAUAUCGUAUCCACUUAAAGCUGCCUUGUGUAGUACGUUUUUGUUUGUGUCUCUCUUUAUAUUCCAAUAAGGUCGGUGAUCUUGAUGCCACACACUCAGACGUGUGUUCAUCUCCAGAUACUACUCCAUGCUACCUGCCCUUUGUGUUUUGUUCAAUAACUGGGUAUCAUAUCCCAGCCAGUGUGCCAUCUGUUUUGUGUUUAUUUCCUUCUAGUUUCAAAGGGGUUAUCAUGAUGUUACCUUCUUUCGAUAUGGUGCUUUGCAUGACUACUGUUGUAUGGUACCAUCUUGUUGGCCAAUAAAUACAUCUUAUCCUAUGACCCUUUGCUAUGACCCUUUGCAAAUAAGUACAAGAUUGUUAAAUACUCGGUAUAAAUUGACUACUGCUGUGAGUUCCCUUUCAGCUUAUCGUAGGCAUACAUUAUUGCUAGCACGGUGAAGACAACCAACACGAAUGGUCAAGUAAACGUACCGGUACUUUUGUAUACCAACACCCUUGCUUAAAUGUACCGGUGUUACUCCCCACUAGCACAUAUAUUCUUAUAUGCUAGCCGGCUUGAAAAUUAACCGAUUAAAAUAAUUAUUUCAAGACAGAAAUAACUUAUCGGCUUCUCGAAGCAUGUGUAAUGUGAAUUCAAGGACUUGAUGGAAGUUGAAUCGCUUAAUCUAGAUUGCUUUCAGGAUUUUGGGUAACUAAAUUUAACAUUUGCACAUACAAAUGUUAAUGUACAAAUAUUAAAUAUAGUUACCCAAGCAGAAUAUGAAGAUACUCUAUAGUAUAUAUAUACUAUAUAAAUCUAGUUAACAUUUAGUCUAAAUGUUAAAUCUAGUUACCUAAAAUCCUGAAAGCAAAAUGUAUAAAUAUAUAUCUUUUAAGGAAUCCCAAAGCAAGAGUUCAGUGGCAUUCUAUAGUCCCAUGCUGCUAGUUUGAGUUGGUCGAAGCCAACUUAAAUAGGAGAGCUCUCUCACUUCUCUAAAUACGUAACUGAAGGAGAGAAGGGGGCUUGGUUACACAACGCACGCACGCACGCAUAUUUGCGUUCUUUUCGCGUAACCAACCGCGUGACUUGAAACUUGCGACGUAGCGUGCUGCCAAGUCAAGUUGAUAUAACCUUUUUGCCGUAGGCGUGUAAUCUUUUGACAACGGUCAUUGGAGGUGAUAAGCACGCAGUCAAUACCUUAAUCCUGAGUUAAUAGGGCGGUUACUACUGCCAAUUAGUGGGGCAAUUUUGUAGGGGAAACGGUUAGCAGAGGGCUACCAUCUUCUCUAUAAGAAGUUCUGGAGACGUCCAGGAACACACAUGUACAUGUGAGAGACCCACGAAUUCCUUCCCAUCUCCCUUUUCCAUCUGGUGAAGUGUGCUAUGGUACUGAGCUGCUGGAUCUCGCCGGCUCUUCUCCUUGGCGUGCACCGAGGAGGAGGGUGAGCGGUAUCUCCGAGCUAUUGCCGUCAGGAAGCCUGCACGAGGGACAACAAUAAAGUUUUUGGGUAGCGCAACUACGCAACCGCUCGAUUCGAUCGACUAUGUUCUGCGCUGCCUCAUCUUCGAUCUGCACUGCAACACGUAACCCUGCAGCAAGUCUACACAAGGACGGAGCACUAAUCUGUAAGUCCUAGAUUGGUUUCUUACAGAGUUGUAGGUUACACAAGAUCUAGAAUUGUUACAUACUUAUUAUUAUGGGUUACAUGAUGUUUUGUACGGUUACGUCUAUUUUGCAUAUGCUAUUUUUACAUACCGUUUACAUGCAUAUGUAAUGGUUACGCCUAGCUAUUUGAAUCUAGAAUUGGGUUACAUAGCAGUAGCAAUGACUUACGUAAUAUGCCUCAUGUUUAUAUCUGGUAGAAUUUAACACGUAUCUCCAACAUAUUUUGAGGCAGUAUAAAUUUCAAUUCCUUUUGCUGCUCUGUUAAAUCCCGUCUUUCGUGUGGCCCAACACUCUAGUAUGCAUGUAGCACCAAGCUUGUUUGAGCCGCUUUGUGCUCUGAUUUUGCUGUCUGUAUCAGGUUGGACUGUUUCUUUGUCUUGCGAUGUAUAGCUUCAUAUCUUCUAGAGGUUAGACAGCAAAACCCGCGUUCUCUUAAGGCAACAACUCGAAGAAUCUGCAGCGCUCCUGAUAUAUCACUGCUGCAGAAACAAUCUUUAGUACUGAUUUCCAACCCCCUUUAGUAUCGGUUUGGCAAUCAGUACCACUACGUCGGUACUAAAGGGAGUUCUCUAGAAUCGGGUCAAAUAACUGGUACUAAAAGUGCUCCUCUACUACCAGUUGGUAACACCAAUAGGUAGUAACUUUUUUUGCACCCAAAAAAUUAAAGAAAAACAGCCGGGAGGCUCGCGCACACACGCAUCAUGAGUAAUAUGCGCGUGCAUGGUUUGUGGGAUUCCAACCCACGACCAAGCUAUAAGCACGUAGUUACAAAAAAAUUAAACACUUAGACAUUUUAGAGCAUCCCAAAUAACUACAAAUUCUUUAGUUUACCAUAUACCAUAAAAUAUUAGUUAAAAUAAGAGCAUACGCACGUCGGAAGAGUCCCAAUGCACCGGUUGAGGAUCAGACCAGGCACUUUGAAUGCACAUGCCAUAAGAUAAUUCUGCAGGACGAUGAUUGCAAUAAUGGACCAUCGAGAAGAUAGGGGCGAUGGGGUUGCCUCAUCAAUUAUGACUUGGCGCAACAAGACCAGCAAAGUCUUUAUCGACAGGGGUGGAUCAAGGGGUGGGGCGGGUAGAGCUCCAAUCUUCCUACCGCCGCUCGAACAAUGGAGCCCCCCUUAGCCCCUCCAUAAAUUUUUAGGUAGAAGAAAAAAGAAGAGAAGGGAAGGAAGGGGAAGAAUAGGGAGCCCCUCCUAAGUAGGUCGCCAUCGUGCUUCCCAACGCAUGAUCGCCGCACCGCAUCCAUUCCUCUACAAGCCUCCAGCGUCUCUCCUGCCGCUACCUCUGAACCAUGUGCAGCUGCAGACCCAACUAGUGUCUUGUCACCCAUCUCAAUCCCAACAGAGCGGCGGCUCCUGCCAGCACAAAUCUCCCUCCGCCUGUUCUUCACGAUCGAUGGCCACCACAAGCAUAAACCUCGCCUUCGCAUCCACGCAAAAGGGUCGCCGGUGUGCCUUCUCGCAUCGCUUCUCAGCCUCCUUCACUUGCGGCUGGCCAAGAACCGUGCCACCACCUCGGGUGCGCGCCACCGCUCCAGGGCCGCUACCCCAUGCGUGCGGCCGCCGCCGGCCACCACGCGUGUGCAACCGUGUCGCACCGCUUCCCUGCUCUGUGCCACCACUGCUACUGCACCACCAGCUCCACCACCUUGGGCUGGUCGCCAGGGUGACUGAUUGGUGGAUUAUUACUACAAAUAAGUUCCUUAUUAUCUGCAACUACUAUUAACUCAGGGAUACAUGCGUCUUUUGCUUCUCCUGUUAAUAUGUCCUAAAAUAUCUAGAAUGCCUUAUAUUUCUGGACGGAGGAAGUAUUUGAAUAAAAUGAACCAAUUUUAAAAAAUGUGUUGUACACUACUACAGAAAGAACUAUCAGUGUCAAACCCAAAAAUGUCGUCACUGCCAGUUUUGGGCAUCGUUGGUGAAAGGUUGGCGGUGAUGGGUAUCCCCUUCAACAACGGCACUAGAGCUAACAGUGAUUGACAUUAGAAAACGAAAAAGGGGACCCACCUAGCCACCCCUGCAACCCGGCUGGCCGUGCCUCCCGUCAUCCCCACCACCUCGCCUCCCCCGUGACCCCCCGCCGGCGCCCUUGCGCCUAGCCCCCUCGCCUGCCUGGCCGGCCACCCUCGUCACGAGAGAGAGGGGUGCAUGUUGUAUAAUUGCGUGAAUUUUUAAUGUUUAAUUUCAUGUAAGUUUCAUAUAAUAAAUUGUACAAGUUUUAUUGUAUAUAUGAAUUCCAUAUAUAUAUAUUUAUAAUUUAAUGUAUGGUUUCAUGUGUAUAUUUCAAUAAUGUGUAUAUUUAGUAGAUAGCCGAUUUUCUUUUUCUACAAGACAAGGGUUGAUGUAUAAUUACGUGUAUAUGUUUAUUGUACGGGCAAUUAGGACAAGUUUUGUAUAAAUUUCUUUUAUUUCAUGGUUGUUGUAUGGUUUCAUGUAUAUACAUUUAUUGUACUACUUGAGACAAUUUUUAAUUUAAUGUUUCUAUGGUUACAUGUGUGUAUAACUAAUUGUAUUAUUAGUUAAGAUGGGAGCCAAAGAGGAUGAAAGGUAUAUAAUGGAGCAGAUUAUUGCUGGCGGUAGUGGCUCAAACGUUGCAAGAACCUACAUCAAGGGUGAGGGUAGCUAGGUGGACAUGUACCUCAACAUGUCCAGUGAUGGCAAUGACGAUGAGGAGCACGAGCAUGACGUUUAUGAUAGUGCGGAACAAGACAUUGCAGAAUUGGAAGGUUCUAAUGAGGUGUGCUUCAUGUUGAUGAUCUGGUUGGCUUUUUUUCUUUGGUCACACCUUAGUUACCAUAGAACUUCGUCUCGGGAGAAGAUUGGAGGUGCUAUGGUGAUUGGAAUUUUAUUGCCUCCAAAUAUGAUUUCCAUCGAAUCAUAUCCCUUGUAUUUAUCUUCUUUUUAUUUGUGAGAGCAUCUUCUUUAUGCUUGCAAAACAAUUCAAGUGCACAUACUACACCUAGGGUGAUGAUUAGGAGUAGAAACAAUUGCCAACAAACGAACACCACAUCCUAAGAUUCUUAACUUGUGGUAUAAUUAGUCUAGUAAAAAGAAAGAUAAAAACCUAAUGGGUGUACGUGAGUGCAAUGCGUAUAUGCAUAUGAGUGGAAGGCAUAUAAGCAAAGAUAAUAUUUACACAUAGAUCUAAGCACCAUGUUUACAACUAAGUUGCUGAAUUUCUCCAUAGCUAUAGAGAUUAAUGAACCAAGGUCAAAACACCAUGUCUAUCCCAAGAUCAGUAAUUCUUUAUAGCACAAGAAAAAGAAAGCGCAUUGCAAAGUUUAUAAACCAACCAAUGCAGCAUGAAAACAAGAUGAAUAGCUAGCAAGGUUUAUUAAACUGAAUGAUGACGGUCUGCAAGCAAGUUUGAACACCAUCUUUACACAAGAUUGCAAAUGGAAAAUUCCCAUAUGAAGAACUAACAUGGAUAUGAAAUCAUUCAUCAUAAAGCGUAAAGAACAACCAAGCCAACCAUAUGCAAAGCAUGAAUGGAAUGCAAUGAAGGUGCAAGAGAACAUUUUUGGAUGAACCCAUUAUGAUGAUGGCAAAAUGCGCCGUGCCCCCCAGCCCCCGCGGUGAGAUCCCGCCGCUCGCUGCCGCCAGACCCUAUUAGGCCUCCACCGGCAGGUCCACCCACGGUCCCGCGCGACGUGGCAGCCUCUUGGCUCUCGGCGCUCGCGGCACGCCAGUGCUGGCGCAGCCCCACCAGGCGACUACCCUCCCCCCAUAAGGCCUCGGCCCCUCCCCAGCGCCGCCCCCCAACACCAGGACUGCCUGCUGCCCCCCACCGUGAGGUAAUCGAAAUCGACUGCUCAAUCUCUCAAUCUGUUGAUAUGAUGCACACGGUUGCAAAAAUAGAUGUGUCAAAAUAGAUGUUUUGCCAAUUGCUAUAGAUGCAUACGGUUGACAUGAAGUCAAAAAUGACAUUUGGUUCCUUGUAGGCAGUCAAAAAUGAAGAAGUCAAAAAAUAUUGAUCUGAAAUCAAUGUGGGAAAGGGCUAUGAAGACACGCAGGUAGAUUCCCUUGUGAACUUUUUAUGUCGUUCGUCUAAAUAAUUUUUUGCAAUGGGCAUACCCUACUCUGAAAUCCUGGGUCCGCCACUGAUGAUGAUGGUCUAAAAAUAAACCAAGCCUAGAUUAAUUAGCCACAACUGAAAUUAAGCAAAGGUUAAUGUCAUUGACCCUAGCUCUAUCCUAGCUUUUACCAAAGUUCCGGCACAUAUAGUGGUUGGGCCCACUCUCUCUGCUUCCCUCUCUGCUGCAUGCACGCACACGAGCAACGGGAGGCCCGACGAAGCCCAGAAGGGUUCGGCCGAACCAGUAUGAGCGCCGCUCCCUCCCAGCCUUCGCGCAGAUGCUCCUCCAACGUUCCUUGACCCCUCCCUCAGCGUCCCGUUGGGUUUAACAUUGCAGGAGAGGAGUCCCUUUUUUAAAAUCUCAACCACCUCCUCUCCCCAUUCACUCCACUCUCAUCUCCAUCAAACUCACCAAGAUCCGCACCGGAAAUCCCUGCUUACCACCAUGGCUGGCAAAGCCCUCAUCCCUUUCACCAACUUGGGCUUGACCACUGAUCUCGAUGGGGAAAUCACUCUGGCAAAUAUGCGUGUAACACUGCCCCCUUUGCCGAGGGUUAAAGCCAAAACACUCAGCAAAGUGGAUAGUACCCCCCUUUUUACCCGUUUUGUCAUGUAUAACGGACCCCUCUCAAUUCACAAUAGACAUCAUCAUAGGCAUUUAUAAUAAACAAUCACAGGCAUAAUUCACAAUCACCAUUACAAGCAUUAUUCAUAAAUAUCACAGACAUAAUCCAAAGUAAGCAUGAAACAAGCCAUAAAUCCAAGUUCAAGUCACAACUAAGUUUCAUCCAAGUUCAAGUCACAAAUGCAAUGUCUAAAUCCAUGGAGGCCAAGGAGACCACUGCGACAAAUCUUGGUCUUCAUUAUUCGAAGCCGCCGAUUGAUUCUGCACAUAGGAUAGGACAUUCUGAGCUAACAUCUAAAGUUGUCAAAAUUAAAGUAUUCAAUCUUAAGCACAAUGUGUCAAAUGACUCACAGGAGUAGUUGUGGGUGGCUGAGGCGGAGGGAACAGCAUCGAUGGCGGUGGCAAAGAUUGACCCAUGCUCGAAGCAAAAUUCUGCAUGUACUGGAACAUCUGGUCCAUCCUCAUCCGAUUUUCUUCCUCCAUCCUCUGCCGCUCGGCCUCUAACCUCCGCUGAACCAUCUGCUCCAUCCUCGCCGCCAUCUCCUCUUGUUGCUUCCUUGCUGCUUCCACCUGGGCCUACAAUAUUUCAUUGCAAUGUUACAAUGCAAAGCUAAAGUAUAGCAACCAACGAACAAUGAAUGGAAGAGAAAGAACCUGGAGAGCCUCCAUCUGGAACUGUCCAAUGGUUGGUCGUAGCCGUAUCGCCGGGCUCGAGUCCGUGCUCCUUGCUUGGAUCUGGGAGAGAGUGGCAGUAGAGGCCGUGUUGAUUACGCCGUCGCCAAUCCAAUAUCGGCCAUGCUUCUUGCCUCCUCCCACCCUCAUCACGAUUUCUCCAUCAAUAUCCUCAGAGCUUGAAUCGAAGUCUGGCCCGUGAACCUCCCUUGCCAUCACUGUAUAUUCCUUUGCCGAGUGCCCGAGAUAAAGCACUCGGCAAAUAGAAAACACUCGGCAACUUUACUGUUUCCCGUAGUGUCGCUAUUUUUGCAGGUUCUCGACCAGGCCAGUUCUUUGGGCCAACCUAUCAUUCACGACUUAAACAUACGGUGGCUGUAGAAAUGUUCUAUUCUUUUCAACAAUACCAGCUGGUUCCUCCGUUUUUAUUCCACCAAUACAAGCACCACCUUGUAACAUUUCCUAUGUUUUUUUUUCCUUUCGUCUGUUUUCUACAUGCGUUGCUCUUUCAUGCAUUUUUUUCCAUUCCUGUAUUCCAAAUAGGUCUACAUGAACACAAAAUGAACUAGGGGACAGAAAAAGCCAGUGAAGCCAAUUUUGAGCUUCACCAGCUACUUGCUACAUAAAGUGUGCUAUAGUGACGUGUUUUAGCAAAACAUGUUAUCAAUGACUUGACAUUGGUGACGUGUUAAAACGCGUUAUCUCAAUGGCAAAUCAUUGGUGACGUGUUUUAAAAAAACAUGUCACCGUGAGAGUCAUUGGUGAAGGGUAAUUAUAAUGCGUCACUAAUGUUGUAGCAUUAGUUAUGAUAAUUUAGUAACGCAAAAAUCUACCAUCAGUAUUGAGCUUUAGAGCCAUCGCUAAUGUGGGUUUCUUACAUAGUGAUGCAAGCUCUACAAGGUGCUGUUGCUGCCAUUUUAAAGCAUCCCAUGACUACAUGUUAAUAACAUAGUUUACCAUAUAUCAUAAAAAUAUUAGUUACAAUAAGCACAUACGCAUGUGGAAGAGUCCGAAUGCACCGGUUGAGGACUAAACACAUUGAAUUACUAGAACCAAAUGUGUGUUUAGAACAAAGACAGGGGUCAAGGUUUGGGUAACCGCAUUAAAAACAUUGGAUUUUACUGUACAUGAACACUUAGUUACCAUUACCAUGCCUUGAGCACCUAGUUACAACAAACAUUAAUUUAGCCACUUUAGAGCUUCCAGAAUCGCUAUAAAUAAUAUACCUACGCCGUACCAUGAAAACAUCAAGAAGAGAGACGGAUACAUGGACCACCAUCAAGCGAGUAGUGACAGCACGCACAAGAAUACCCGGAACCUGUUAGCUUGUCUGUAGUGAUCUGUUUUCUUCCCCAUAAAAUCCAUGAGUAUUGCCACAAAUAAUGAAAGAGGCUGACCAAGCUAGCAAGGAGGUAGAGCAAACGUGAUACACGGCCUGCCAAGAUUGCCCUGGAUACGCCAAUAAGAGCGACAGAUACAUGGAUCACACCAAUAUGGUGAAACGUAUAUUCAUCACACAAGCAAAGCUGGUCAGUUUAUCCAUGGUCAAAUUGUGGUCUUUGUUUUCACUUGAGAGCUAAUUGAGGCACUAUAAUAUGGGCAGGCCUAUCUUCAACAGACAUGACAGCUACAGGGAACUUGACAUAAUUUGCUGGGCCGCCUGUGCACAAUUAUUUGUUUUAUUGUCCUUGCAUAGAAUGCUAAAAUACUCUUUACAAAAUGUUGGAUCUAAUAUUUGAAAUAUAGAGUAGUAAUCAUAUAUUGAUCAACAACUUGAAAUUAUCUGUACAUUCUCGGUGAAGCUGUUGAACUAAUUUUUGCAAAUUAUUAAUUCAUCUCAUUACGUAAAGAAAAAAGUAAGUGGAUAAGAUAUUUCGUGGACCACAUCACUGCAAACAUGUCAUGGAGAGACAGACCAAGGAGGCAGGACGUGAUACACGACUUACCCUAGGUUGCCGUGGAACCGCCAAGAAGAGAUACAGAUACAUGGACCACACCAUCUUGGGAGUAGUGACAGCAUAUAUGCAGAAGAAUACCCCGUGCCUAUUUGCAUGCAUGUCUCAAGUGAUCUGUUUUCUUCAGAAAAUACAUGAGCAUUGCCAGAAAGAAUGGCAAGAGACAAACAUGUCAUAGAGACUUGCAUGUCUUGCCUUGGAUACGCCAAGAAGAGGGACACAUACAUGGAUAACACAAAUCUAGUGACACGUAUAUUCAUCACAAAGGCAAAUCUGAUAAUUUUAUCCAUGGAGCAGACCAAGGAGAAAUUGAUGACGGACAUGUGAUCUCUGUAUUCAGUUGAAAGCUAAUUGAGCUACACUAAUAUGAGCAGGACUAUAUUCAAGAGACUUGUUGAGAGCUACAGGGAACUUGUAAUAAUUUGCUGGGCGGCCUGCGCACAAUGAUUUGUUAUACAUAGUUGAAAUAUUUCAAGAAUUUAUCAACCUCAUACUCUGAAACCCUUGGUGCAAUGUACUCUGCUUUCCGAGGUAGACUGUUCACGUAAAAUGAGGUCAUGCGUAAGACGGAAUCGGAUUGGAUUCACAGGGAAUCAGAUUUGGAUAGCACCUUUUAGCAGGUUUUUAGUCAAAUGCAAAUUCGGAUCCACAUGUGGUUGAAUGCGAGUUCAAAAUUCUACUUGGAUAUCCAUUUAAUUUAGGUGAUAGCAAUUAGCACAAAAUGUUGGAUGAACAAAAUCAUAGUUAGACAUACAAUUACAUGUAUGGUUAAAGUAUAAUACAAUACACCAAGAUUAUUCCUUGAAAAUAUUUCUUAAAAAUAUUAUAAUAAAUGAAUAAAUAUAAUUGUGGCCACCAACAAAUAGUCGGUGGUCGCUAAGUUGGAGCCAUUUCUGGUUACUAAUGCGGCCUUCUCCUCGACCAGCGACGACAGCUGAGCUUGUUCCUUCUGACACUAAAUCAUCAGAGUCUUCCCUCCACUACUAUAGAAUGCACCUUUAGCACCAAUUGGGAAAUCCCCUUCAGUAUUGGAUGCUGCAACCAGUGCUAUAUAUCAAAAUGGAGACUAAAAGCCUCGGUCUUGGGUACCGGUUGCAUAACGCAUUACUAAAGGAGGCAAAAGAGAAAUGUAACAAAAAAAAUAUUUUGAAUUCCAAGAAUGUUUCACUAUUCAAGAUGACUAGCUGAGAGUCAACAGACAAGAUACUAGGAAUGUGGGUGCUUGAAUGCAUUUGUACAGAGGUCAUACUAUUUACAAACUCUUCUAUGUUUCCAUAUGACUACCUACUUCAAUGUCACGCGAGCCAUUCAGCUGGACACAUGGCACACUAGCUUGCAUGUCGAAUCCAUGAUUAAUUAUUUCCACUUGUGAUCUCUUACCAGUAUUUGUCCAGACUAGAAACGUGCAACACAUUUUUAGGAUAUGGACACGCAUAUAUUUGGACUAGUAUACAGGUCACCUUUGGAUGCGUACAAGGAUGACCGGGAGGGACUAGAAAUGGUCUAGUUUUGAUUGGACUACAAAACUUUUUGUACAGUGAAUAGAGAAUAUAUAUUAUUGUUGGAAUACGAGGUAGGCUACACUAUCGCAAUUCUGAUAUUCUACCGCGUAUAACCAAGAAGAACUGUCGUAUAAGGAUCACGGGAUUACCACUCGACGCACUACUGGUGCGGAAGAUGUAGAUAUGCGUCGAUGCAGUGAAGACGAUCACGUAGUCGUAUGUAGUCGAUCAACGUAGUCGUACAUAGUCGAUCACGUCCAGCAGCUCCUCAGCAGCUCGUCCACGUGCAGCAAGAUCGCCUCCGGUACCGCGGCUCGUCGUUGGCUUGUCGUGGCUCGUCGACGGCUCGUCGGCGGCUCGUCCAAGUGCUGCAGGCGCAACACCUCCAAGGUAUCCACACGUGCAGGGAGGAAGCGUCGCAAGCCGGACUGCUAGAUCCACGAGUUGCAACAGGCGAGGGCGUGGGAGGCGCGGCAGGUGUGUUUCGCCAAAAAGGUGUAAACCCUAGGGCGCCCCCACCCCUCUAUUUAUAGAGGUUCCUGACGGGCCUCUGGAUCCGAGGCCCAUUAGUACUUCUAAACCUAAUCCAACUCGGAUCAGAUCCGAAUUGGGCUUCCAGCCCCUUAAGUGUGUGACCCUAUAAGUUCGGAUACGUAUAGACAUGGCCCGAGUACUCCUACUCGGCCCAAUAGUCGGUAGCGGCCUCUAGCAAGACGUGCCAACUCCUAUACGCACACGAAGAUCAUAUCAGACGAACCAUCACAACAUAAUAUACAUGCUAUUCCCUUUGCCUCACGAUAUUUGGUCUAGCUUCAAGCCGACCGCUCUUUCUCAGUCCUGUGAUUCGGAAUCCCUUUGUAGGUUAACUCUUAACCGUACGUAGCAUGGCCAUGCAUUUUCGGAUCUGAUCACUCGAGGGGCCCAGAGAUAUCACUCUCAAUCAGAGAGGGGCAAAUCCCAUCUUGAUUGACCAUGUCUCAUAGCAUGCUUCUUGACAAACCUAAAAACUACCUUUAUAACUUCCCUGUUACGGCGUAGUGUUUGAUAGCUCCUAAGUAGGUCGAUCCACAUCUAGAAUACAUGCGACAAUUUCAGGUCUAAGGACAAAGCGUAUAUGUUGUUUAAAGAGAGAACUACUUCUCGUGUUGGGUCAGUCCCAGCACAUGUCUCCACAUGUGUCCACAUUAUUAGUUCAACAUCUCCAUGUCCAUGACUUGUGAAACAUAGUCAUCAACUAAUACAUGUGCUAGUCUAAUAUUCAUGUGUGUCCUCACAUGAACUCCGACUAGGGACAACUUUAGAAUAACCAUACAAGUAAAGAGUUUCACAUACAAUUCACAUAAUUGCAAAUCAAUUCAAGUAGCCUUCAAUGGAUAUUCAAUGAACACAACAUACAAAUCAUGGAUACAAAUGGAAUAUCAUCAUCUCUAUGAUUGCCUCUAGGGCAUACCUCCAACAGUCUCCCACUUGCACUAGAGUCAAUCUAGAAGGUACCUAAUACCCAUAGCUCUUACAUGCGCAUCAUGCUUAGCCUGCGGGAGUGGUUUUGUCAACGGAUCAGAAAUGUUCAGAUCCGUGUGUAUUUUGCAUAUCUUGAUCUCACCCCGGUUAACGAAGUCUCGAAUGAGAUGAAAUCGCCGCAUUACAUGUUUGUUCUUCUGGUGGUUCCUUGGCUCCUUUGCUUGCGCAAUUGCCCCAUUGUUAUCACAGUAGAGAUUCAAUGGGCUGGACCCAUUCGGGAACACACCAAGCUCAAUGAGGAAAUUCCUUAUCCAAACACCUUCCUUCGCGGCUUCCGAAGCCGCGAUGUACUCGGCUUCUGUCGUAGAAUCGGCCACCGUCUCCUGCUUGGAACUCUUCCAACUAACAGCACCACCAUUUAGCGUGAACACAAAUCCUGUUUGUGACUUUGAAUCAUCUCUGUCGGUUUGGAAACUAGCAUCGGUGUAACCUGUUACAACGAGCUCCUCCUCACCUCCAUAGACGAGGAAUAUAUCUUUAGUCCUUCUCAAGUACUUAAGAAUGUUUUUCACCGCUGUUCAGUGACUCUCACCUGGAUCAGAUUGGUGUCUGCUUGUCAUACUUAGCACAUAUGAAACAUCUGGGCGAGUACUUAUCAUUGCAUACAUGAUAGAUCCAAUAGCCGAGGCAUAUGACACUCUACUCAUGUGAUCCCGCUCAUCAGCAGUCGAAGGACACUGAGUCUUGCUGAGAUGUAUGCCAUGUGACAUAGGCAAGAACCCUUCCAUGCUGAACCGCUUCAACACUUUGUCAAUGUAAGUAUCUUGGCUUAAACCUAUAAGCCUUCUCGAUCUAUCUCUAUAGAUCUUAAUGCCCAGAAUAUAUGCCGCUUCCCCUAAGUCCUUCAUCGAAAAACUAUUUUUCAGUGAAGUCUUUAUGGACUCAAGCAUAGGAAUGUUAUUUCCAAUCAGUAAUAUGUCAUCCACAUAUAAGAUUAGAAAUACUACAGAGCUCCCACUAACCUUCUUGUAAACACAAGACUCUUCUUCGUUCUUGGUGAAGUCAAACCCUUUGACCACUUCAUCAAAACGAAUGUUCCAACUCCUAGAUGCUUGCUUCAAUCAAUAAAUGGAUCUCUGAAGCUUGCAUACCUUUCCAGCAUUUUUCGGAUCGACAAAACCCUUGGACUGUAUCAUAUACACGUCCUCAGUUAGGUUUCCAUUCAGGAAAGCUGUCUUGACAUCCAUCUGCCAUAUCUCAUAAUCGAAAUAUGCAGCCAAACUUGAUUGUCUCCCAUGGACUCUAUUUCGGAUUGCAUGGCAUUCUGCCAUUUUUCGGAGUCUGGGUCCAUCAUUGCUUCUGCAUAUGUCACAGGCUCAUCAUUGUCCAACAAUAAUAUUUCCUGCAUUUCGCGGAGCCUUGCCGACCUUCGUGGUUGUGGCGGUGCUUCUCUUGCCAUGGGUAUCUCAACUUGUUCUGCUACGUUAGCAUCACUCAUUGAUUCUUGCCCGAUCGGCUCAUCUUGAACUUCUUCAAGAUGCACUGUCUUUCCACUCUUUUCUCCUUUGAGAAACUCUUUCUCUAGGAAAACCCCGUUCCGAGCGACAAACACUUUGCCUUCUGAUCAGUUGUAAAAAUAAUAUCCCAAAGUUUCCUUUGGAUAUCCCACGAAAAUGCACUUAUCCGACUUGGGUGCGAUCUUGUCCGACUGAAGUCGCUUGACAAACACAUCACAUCCCCAAAUCUUUAGAAAAGACAAACUAGGAACCUUUCCAGUCCAUAUCUCAUAUGGUGUCUUAACUACGGAUUUAGAUGGUACCCUAUUAAGUGUGAAAGCUGCUGUUUCUAGAGCGUAUCCCCAAAAUGACAACGGUAGGUCCGACUGGCUCAUCAUUGAUCGAACCAUGUCUAACAAAGAUCGAUUACGUCGCUCGGACACACCGUUUCUCUGAGGUGAUCCAGGCGGCGUAAGUUGUGGAACAAUUCCGCAACUCUUUAGAUGAUUGCUAAACUUGUGGCUCAAAUACUCGCCUCCACGAUCAGAUUGUAAGGCCUUAAUUUUCUUGACACGCUAAUUUUCAACUUCAUUCUGAAAAUCCUUGAACUUUUCAAAGGUUUCAGACUUGUGCCUCAUCAAGUAGACAUAGCCAUAUCUACUAAAAUCAUCAGUGAAAGAUAUGAAGUAUUGGAAUCCUCCUCUAGCCGUCGUGCUCAUUGGUCCGCAUACAUCACUAUGUACGAGUUCCAACAAGUCUACUGCUCUCUCAGGAAAUCCUGUGAAAGACGUCUUGGUCAUCUUGCCUAGCAAGCAAGCCUCACAUGUCUCGUAUGAUUCAAAAUCAAACGAAGUUAGAAGUCCAUCAGAAUGGAGCUUCUUCAUGCGUUUUUCACUUAUAUGACCCAAACGACAAUGCCACAAGUAGGUAGGACUCAAAUCAUUAGGCCGAGGCCUUUUAGCACUUACAUUACAGACAGGUGAACCAUCAAGAUUUAAAACAAAUAAUCCAUUCACAAUGGGUGCAAAAGCCAUAAACAUAUUAUUCUUAGAGAUCACACAACCAUUGUUUUCACUCGCAAAUGAAUAACCAUCCUUCAUCAAGCAUGAAGGAGACAAAAUGUUUCGACUUAAACUAGGAACAAAAUAACAAUUAUUCAACUCCAUAAUAAAUGCUGACGGGAGGUGGAGUUGCAUCGUCCCGACGGUCAACGCAGCAACUCUUGCAUUAUUGCCCACGCGGAAAUCAACUUCUCCUCUUUCCACGCUUCUACUUCUUAUCAUUCCCUGCAUCGAAUUGCAAAUAUGAGCAACCGAUCCGGUAUCAAAUACCCAAGAAUUAAUAAUUGUAUCAGCGAGAAAUAUGUUGUCUAUGACAUUAACAACAAGCGUACCUGAGGUAGAAGUACUCUUACUUCCUCCAUUCUUCAACGAAGCUAGGUACUGCUUGCAGUUUCUCUUCCAGUGACCAAGUUCAUGACAGUAAAAGCACUCUUUGUCUGGAGCAGGUCCAGGUCCAGCUUUAACCUUGGGCGCUCGCUGGGUUUGGCUUGGAAAUUCCAGCCUUGCCCUUCUUCUUCCAAGAAUUGCCCUUCUUCUUAAAGCUAGGCUUGUUCUGUAUAGCCAUCACAUGGCUAGUACAAGCGCUUUUCUUGAUGUCUACCUCUGCUGUCUUGAGCAUACCACACAGUUCAUUCAAACCCUUCUCCGUCCCAUGCAUAUGGUAGUUCGAGAUGAAGUUCCCAUAGCUAGGCGGAAGAGAUGAAAGAAUGAAGUCAGUGGCCAACUCUUUGCCCAUUGGGAAGCCCAGCUUCUCCAAUCGCUGAGUGUAACCAACCAUGUUGAUUACAUGUGGUCCUACUGCUGCGUCUUCUGCUAGCUUGCACUCCAGAAAAGCUUUGGACACAUUGAACCUUUCAGUCCUAGCCUGUGUCUGGAACAUGUCCUUGAGCGCCACGAUCAUAUCGUGUGCCUCAUGAUUUGUUUCGAACUGCAUCUGCAGCUCGGGUUCCAUGCAAGCAAGCAUAAGGCAGCUUACCUCAAGAUUAGCAUCAAAUGCCUUCUUGUAAGCAGCCUUAACGGCAGCAGAUGCAUCAUCAGCAGGUACUGGUGGUAGUGGGGUAUCUAGAACAUCUUCCUUUUUAUCGGCCCUGAGAACAAUUCUCAGGUUACGGAUCCAAUCCGAGUAGUUUGUUCCAUUCAACUUGUCCUUCUCAAGGACCGAGCGCAAAGCAAACGAUGUGGUGGUGUUGCUAGGUGCCAUUUAAUCUACAACAAAAGUAAUGCAAAAUACACUAAGACAAACGUAUCCAUGAUAGAGCAAAUUACAUUAAACUAUUUUAACAGAAUCUACUCCCACUAAAAUCAAUAUCCCUCUAUUGAAACUUAGUGAUUCAGGAUCCACAACUAACAAGUCUACUAGUGAGCUUUAGCAUCACCGCUAGCAAACGAGGUAGAUCGGUAAGCAACUUUUGCUAAUCAUAUCACAUAUGACUCCUGUUGUUGGGUGACAUCUCCAUGUCUCGGCGCCCAACCAUUAUGCCCCAAGGUCCUUAACCGUUAAGAUGACCUCGUUAAGCAAACCAACCCUUAUGCGUGUAAGUGUCCGACACAAACCCGUCUAGUCAAGGAAAACUAGUGGCACCCUAAUUUCAUAGACCCACCACUAAUUGUACAAGACAUGGGACGGUGCAAGUUUUAGUUGGGAGGGCAUACUAACUUAAAUUUUUUGUGAGGGAUCGUUCUACUUCUAACAUCACAGCAUGCAGAAAGUAAAACAUAAACAGAAUAGCAUUCACACAGCUGUGACACAGUAUGGCCCGUUUUUAUAUGGUGAUCUCCAUCUCCAUAGAACCUGUUCACCAUGGUGAUCUCCAUCUCCAUGUUCCAUGUGCGCCAUCCUCCUGGUGAGGAGUCCUCCAAGAACUAGAACAUGCUAUUACACCUAAUAGCUAGUAAAGAAUCUAGUAAUGAAGAUUACAUAGUUGCUUGGAUCAUCACAGAUUGGUACGCAGACCAUUAAAUACAAUAAAGUGACAACACAUAUGGCUCCUGCCGUGUUGCCGUACGCGCGACACGCAGGUCACGAAUGAGUUACACACAUGCAUCACAUACACAAGGGGGCCAUACUGAUCACAAGAUACAUACAUACAUCCUGCAAAACAGAGUUAGGCGUCCUAACGUUCCAAACUUCGAAGGCCCGAAACUCCAUCUUCCAAGCCGAAUUUGGGAAAUCUAAUUUUGCCGAAAACGGCAAAGCGGUUGAAUUUCAUGUGUAACUUUUUCUGUAGAUCAAUUUUCAUAUAAAAUUCGCCCCGAUCCGAGAUCGUACCGAAAAGUUACGGCUGAUUUACCGAAGCAUACGCAUACGGCAAAAAUUCCGACCCCGGCAGUAGAUCCCAUCUACUAUUGCACAUCUAAUGCGCCUGGCGUAUGAUCCUGGAUUUCGAUUCGACCAAUCAUAUUGAUCUUCGCUCACUGCAACUGGAAUUACGUGUAUCACUUAACUCGUCGGCGGCUCGUCGGCGGCUCAUCCAAGUGCUGCAGGCCCAACACCUCCAAGGUAUCCACACGUGCAGGGAGGAAGCGUCGCAAACCGGACUGCUAGAUCCGCGAGUUGCAAUAGGCGAGGGCGUGGGAGGCGCCGCAGGUGUGUUUCGCCAAAAAGAUGUAAACCCUAGGGCGCCCCCACCCCUCUAUUUAUAGAGGUUCCUGACGGGCCUCUGGAUCCGAGGCCCAUUAGUACUUCUAAACCUAAUCCAACUCGGAUCAGAUCCGAAUUGGGCUUCCAGCCCCUUAAGUGUGUGACCCUAUGGGUUCGGAUACGUAUAGACAUGGCCCGAGUACUCCUACUCGGCCCAAUAGUCGGUAGCGGCCUCUAGCAAGACGUGCCAACUCCUAUACACACACGAAGAUCAUAUCAGAUGAACCAUCACAACAUAAUAUACAUGCUAUUCCCUUUGCCUCACGAUAUUUGGUCUAGCUUCAAGCCGACCGCUCUUUCUCAAUCCUGUGAUUCGGAAUCCCUUUGUAGGUUAACUCUUAACCGUACGUAGCAUGGCCAUGCAUUUUCGGAUCCGAUCACUCGAGGGGCCCAGAGAUAUCACUCUCAAUCAGAGAGGGGCAAAUCCCAUCUUGAUUGACCAUGUCUCAUAGCAUGCUUCUUGACAAACCCGAAAACUACCUUUAUAACUACCCUGUUACGGCGUAGCAUUUGAUAGCCCCUAAGUAGGUCGAUCCACAUCUAGAAUACAUGCGACAAUCUCAGGUCUAAGGACAAAGCGUAUAUGUUGUUUAAAGAGAGAACUACUUCUCGUGUUGGGUCAGUCCCAGCACAUGUCUCCACAUGUGUCCACAUUAUUAGUUCAACAUCUCCAUGUCCAUGACUUGUGAAACAUAGUCAUCAACUAAUACAUGUGCUAGUCUAAUAUUCAUGUGUGUCCUCACAUGAACUCCGACUAGGGACAACUUUAGAAUAACCAUACAAGUAAAGAGUUUCACAUACAAUUCACAUAAUUGCAAAUCAAUUCAAGUAGCCUUCAAUGGAUAUUCAAUGAACACAACAUACAAAUCAUGGAUACAAAUGGAAUAUCAUCAUCUCUAUGAUUGCCUCUAGGGCAUACCUCCAACAAUUAUUUCAUGUAAAUUUUUGACAAUUUUUUAAAAUUGUUUGAUAUUUUUUAAAUUUUUUUUAAAAUAACUUUGCCGAGUGUCCUAUUGUAGACACUCGGCAAAGCAGCCUUCACCGAGUGUUACCCCUGGGACACUCGGCGAAUUAAUGCCCGGCCGCUCAAGAAUAUGUGCCCGGCCCCCUCACUCUCCCGGCCCCCCUCACUCUCACUCCCCUCACUCCCUCCUCUCUCCCUCCUCUCUCCCUCUCGCCGCCGCCCGAAACCCCCGCCGCCGCCCGCCGCCCGGCAUGCCGCCCAGCGCCCCCCGCCGCCGCCCGGCGCUCCCGAAUCCGCCGCCGCCCGCCCGGCGCCCGGCCCCCGGAUCCGCCGCCGCCGGCCGCCCGGCGCCCCCGGAUUCGCCGCCGCCCGCCCGGCCCCCGGCCCCCGGAUCAGCCGCCGCCCGCCGCCCGGCGCACGGCGCCCCCGGAUCCGCCGCCGCCUGCCCGGCGCCCGGCCCCUGGCCCCCUGAUCCGCCGCCGCCCGCCCGGAUCCGCCGCCGCCCGCCCGGCGCCCGGCCCCCGGCCCCCGGAUCCACCGCCGCCCCCCCGGCCCCCGGAUCCGCCGCCCGCCCGUCCCCUCCACCGGAUCCGCCGGCGCCGGGGCCUGAAGAGAAGAGAAGAGGAGAGGAUGGUGGCGGCGGCGGCCGCGGCGGCGGAGCAGGUGGCAGAGCAUGCAUGAUUUUUUUUUAUUUUUUCAAUAAUUGUUCGCCAAGUGUUUUCUGGGCACUCGGCAAAGUCUUUGCCGAGUGCCCGACACAAAACACUCGGCGAACCAGUGUUUGCCGUCAAGAUUUUUGCCGUGUGUCGUUUGCCGAGUGUUACACUCGGCAAACGCUUUGUCGAGUGUUUUUGGGGUUUCGCGGAGUGACCCUGGCACUCGGCAUCACGCAUGUUUCCCUUAGUGAACUUGAAAUUAUCUGUACAUUCUCGGUGAAGCUGUUGAACUAAUUUUUGCAAAUUAUUAAUUCAUCUCAUUACGCAAAGAAAAAAGUAAGUGGAUAAGAUAUUUCGUGGACCACAUCACUGCAAACAUGUCAUGGAGAGACAGACCAAGGAGGCAGGACGUGAUACACGACUUACCCUAGGUUGCCGUGGAACCGCCAAGAAGAGAUACAGAUACAUGGACCACACCAUCUUGGGAGUAGUGACAGCAUAUAUGCAGAAGAAUACCCCGUGCCUAUUUGCAUGCAUGUCUCAAGUGAUCUGUUUUCUUCAGAAAAUACAUGAGCAUUGCCAGAAAGAAUGGCAAGAGACAAACAUGUCAUAGAGACUUGCAUGUCUUGCCUUGGAUACGCCAAGAAGAGGGACACAUACAUGGAUAACACAAAUCUAGUGACACGUAUAUUCAUCACAAAGGCAAAUCUGAUAAUUUUAUCCAUGGAGCAGACCAAGGAGAAAUUGAUGACGGACAUGUGAUCUCUGUAUUCAGUUGAAAGCUAAUUGAGCUACACUAAUAUGAGCAGGACUAUAUUCAAGAGACUUGUUGAGAGCUACAGGGAACUUGUAAUAAUUUGCUGGGCGGCCUGCGCACAAUGAUUUGUUAUACAUAGUUGAAAUAUUUCAAGAAUUUAUCAACCUCAUACUCUGAAACCCUUGGUGCAAUGUACUCUGCUUUCCGAGGUAGACUGUUCACGUAAAAUGAGGUCAUGCGUAAGACGGAAUCGGAUUGGAUUCACAGGGAAUCAGAUUUGGAUAGCACCUUUUAGCAGGUUUUUAGUCAAAUGCAAAUUCGGAUCCACAUGUGGUUGAAUGCGAGUUCAAAAUUCUACUUGGAUAUCCAUUUAAUUUAGGUGAUAGCAAUUAGCACAAAAUGUUGGAUGAACAAAAUCAUAGUUAGACAUACAAUUACAUGUAUGGUUAAAGUAUAAUACAAUACACCAAGAUUAUUCCUUGAAAAUAUUUCUUAAAAAUAUUAUAAUAAAUGAAUAAAUAUAAUUGUGGCCACCAACAAAUAGUCGGUGGUCGCUAAGUUGGAGCCAUUUCUGGUUACUAAUGCGGCCUUCUCCUCGACCAGCGACGACAGCUGAGCUUGUUCCUUCUGACACUAAAUCAUCAGAGUCUUCCCUCCACUACUAUAGAAUGCACCUUUAGCACCAAUUGGGAAAUCCCCUUCAGUAUUGGAUGCUGCAACCAGUGCUAUAUAUCAAAAUGGAGACUAAAAGCCUCGGUCUUGGGUACCGGUUGCAUAACGCAUUACUAAAGGAGGCAAAAGAGAAAUGUAACAAAAAAAAUAUUUUGAAUUCCAAGAAUGUUUCACUAUUCAAGAUGACUAGCUGAGAGUCAACAGACAAGAUACUAGGAAUGUGGGUGCUUGAAUGCAUUUGUACAGAGGUCAUACUAUUUACAAACUCUUCUAUGUUUCCAUAUGACUACCUACUUCAAUGUCACGCGAGCCAUUCAGCUGGACACAUGGCACACUAGCUUGCAUGUCGAAUCCAUGAUUAAUUAUUUGCACUUGUGAUCUCUUACCAGUAUUUGUCCAGACUAGAAACGUGCAACACAUUUUUAGGAUAUGGACACGCAUAUAUUUGGACUAGUAUACAGGUCACCUUUGGAUGCGUACAAGGAUGACCGGGAGGGACUAAUGGAUACAAGGAAGGGACCAUCAGGAUUAAUAUUGACAUAUGCCACAUGACAAUCUUCAUUGUCAUGCAAUCCCUAUCAACAAUCAUGGAAUCCCUAGUGUACUAAUCCCUGGAGGGUUGUGUGGAAAUUUAUUUUACCUUGCGGUGAAAAUCUCAUGAGCAGUCAUUAGUUAAGCUGACUAGCUGAGAUAUAAUAGACAAGCUAGUAAGAUUGGGAGCAUCAAUGCAUCCAUACAGGGUCACAAUAUCCUUUCCAUUCACUUUUAUAUAUAACCCUACGAAUACAAGUCCAACGAAAUGCGGGCCUUUCGAUCAAGAUAAAUUAAAUGGCCCACUUGUAUUUCUAAUCCAGGAUUAACUAUGCCCUCUGUUCAUCUCUUGCAAGCACGUGCAACACAUUUUCACGAUAUGGACAUGCAUGGAGGUUAUUAUACUGUUUGGACAAACUCUGAUGUGCCAUGACCUAAAUGCUUAGGGCCUGUUUGGUUUGAGUUGCUUAUUAUAAGCAACUUAAAGUUGCUUAAAGUUGCUUAUUUGAAGUUGCUUAUUUUUAGUCUAAACUGUUUGGAUACCCUUGCUUAUGAGCAUUGAAUGAGUUGGACAUUGUCAAAUUUGCCCCAUGUGUUGCUACCCCUCCAAUUUGCCUCCCCACCCUUCUUCUUCCUGCACACGUCCGAUCCCGGGGGCCGACGGCGGGCAGGGAGCAGCAGCAGCUGGCCAGGGCGGCGGUGGGGCGGGAGCGGCGGCGCACACCAGCACGCGCUCGCACGCCAGGUGCUAGGGCGCGGCGAGGCAGUCGUCGUAGCCCACCGGGAGCGGGUGCUCGGGCGCGAGGCGGUACUCGACGGAGAUGCCGAGCGUCGGGCGCGCGGCGGCGAGCGCGUUGAGGAAGCGAUGGUAGUGCGGCGACGUCGCGGACUCCGCCACGAAGCCGCCGCCGUGGACGUACACCACCACGGGCAGCUUCGUCUUGCCGUCGGCGGCCGCGGCCGCGGCCUGGGGUGGCAGGUAGAGGCGGACGGAGCAGGAGCCGAGGUCGACGUCCCUGGAGUCGACGCCCGUGGCGGCGUCCAGGCUAGGCCCGACCGGCGGCGGCACGAGCGGGCGCUCGAUGCGGCCGCUCUUGUAAAUCCGACGGGUCUGUGCGGAGGCGGGCGGCGGGCGGGAGCGGCGGGUGGGAGCGGCGGCAGGUGGUGCGGAGGCCGGCGGCGGCGGGUGGCGCGGAGGAAGGGGAGCUGGUGAGUGGUGACAGGGGAGGGGGGGAGAGAGAGGGGGGGGUAGGGUGCAUUGAAUGAGGGCAGGAGGUGUAAAGUGCACCUUUUAGUCCCCAUGAGCAACCAUAAGCAGCCCAAGAGUUGCUUAUUUGCUUAUAAUAAGCAACCUCAUAAGCAAGAGUGAUUGGUUUCAUAAGCAACUUAUUUGCUUAUUUUAAGUUGCUUAUGCAUAAGCAUGUGAAACCAAGCAGGUCCUUAACCUAUGGUUGUGGCACCACACAGUACAUAGUAUUUAAUAAUGCUAUUCGUUUGGUAUGUGCACAAGGGCACGCAUGAAAUGUCUGGCCCACGGUAAACAAGUACGGACGCUGCAAAUAAUCUACUCUGCUCGUCCAGUCCCUAGCCUAUAAAUAGAUGCCAUGCUAGCUCUUGUUGUGCUCACAAUUAAUCCUGACUACACACGAGCUUCUCUCCCUGGCCAAGACACAAUCAUAGUAUGAUGAAGAACAUGGCACUAGCCGGCAAUGGUAUGAAGAACUUAAUCCUCGCUGUUCUCUUACUGUGUCUAGUUAUAGGGCAGAUACAAGUGGAAGCUAAGAGCUGCUGCCCAUCCAUUACUGCAAGAAAUAUCUACAAUGCCUGCCGUAUCACGGGUACAUCCCGUCCAACGUGUGCAAAACUGUCAGGCUGCAAAAUUAUCAGCGGGGACAAAUGCAAGCCCCCUAACGACCACCUCACCCUUGACCCGGACACUGGUAAAUAAUAAAUUUAUCUCACUUGAUUUCUUCGUGUUUUGAGUCGUUAAUGUAUUUUCCAUCUGAUGAAACGUAUUGGUUUUGCAUUGAAGAGGAAGUUAAUGUGCUUAACUUCUGCAAGUUGGGGUGUGCGUCGUCUGUGUGCAACAACAUCAACGCUGGUAAGCACCUUUUGCUCAGACGGAGAAAACAAUAAUCAUUAAUUAGCGGCAGCUAGAAUCCUAUAAUCUAAUAUAUUUAUAUAUAUAUAUAAUUUUAUCAGCUCUGGGAAAUGAAGAGGCGAACGAUGCCGUUGAGAGUUGCGACCAAGCCUGCUCUAGCUUCUGCAACGUGCACGUUGGCGCUGCCACCGUGGUUGCUUAAGCAAAUGCAUCCAACUGGAUCGUCCUUGUGCUAAAUAAUUGGAUAUCGUAUCCACUUAAAGCUGCCUUGUGUAGUACGUUUUUGUUUGUGUCUCUCUUUAUAUUCCAAUAAGGUCGGUGAUCUUGAU
rnacentral:lncRNA from 1 species